UUUUGUUAGGUCAAAAAGAACUUUCGGUGCAAUAAUAUAUAAAUAUUUUAUAUUUAUCUAAGGAUAGAUUCCUAAAGAAAUUCUUACUUUGAGAAUUCCUCGGAUAGUAUCCAAAUUUUAAAAAAAAUUCACAAAACAUCAUUUUUUUUCAAAAAUAACCAUCAUACUCAUGUCGGUUAUUGUCUUUCGCCUCGUUGAUUAUCUCGUAUGCCCAGUUUGUUAUCCUCUCUCCUCUCAUGGUUGUUUACACCUUCACUUCAACGUCAGUCAUCUACAUUCCUUUUCUUAGUUAUUUACACCUUCAAAUGUGAGUUAGUCCCGUCGACCAUCCCUUUCGCACACAUGACGACCCUAAGGUUUGACUAGAGCAAUUAGGAUUGACGUAGGCACUCAUGCCCAUGCUCACAAUACUUUUGGUAUGACGAGGGCGAAUGGACAAUGACGGAGGCGAUGUUGCAUGCCAGGAAACGGUGAUGGGUUUAACGAAGACGAAUGAAAAAUAAUAUUUGCAAGUAAUCGAGAUUAUUCUAUAAUUUUUUUAAAAGUUUAAAUACUCUCCGAAAAAUUCUUGAAAACUUCUCAAACUUAAAAAUAUUUUUCGAGAAUUUAUCGUAGCAACCUUCGGAGGACAUGCAAAUGGCAGUAAAAGGAAAGGAUAAAAUUAGAAACCAUCGAAGCCGAGCCCCAUAAAAAGUGUCACGCGAGGGUGACGACAUAUGGCAUGUCACUUUAUCUUUCGGCUUUCCCUUUCGGCGAUGUAUCUCAUCUGCCUUUCGAGCAUGCAUCGGUGCGUGACCCCAAUACCUCCUUGGGAACUGCCACGGGGAACACACCAUGACACACACUCCAACUCGUGUGACAUCACCUCUCUCUCUCUCUCUCUUUCUCUUGCUUCUUGUUGCCCAAAACACACAGUCCCAUGAGAAGCACUGUUCAAAUGGCACCAUCAACUCAAGCACACAAAAGAGAGCCCGACACACACACCUGACAACUUGAUACGCACGCCACAUGAUGCUGCUGCAAGCACCAGUUCAGUUCAUCACCCAUCUAACUUGAUCAUAUCCAAUAAAUGAUGCGUGUGUGUGUGUGUGUCGAAGUAGGCUACGAUAUACGUAGCAGAUUCUGUCGAGGCAUUUCAUGUUGAUCGAUCAUCUUUCAAGUAAAAUGUUUAGUGUCGUUUCAAUCAUCUUACAGAAGAACUCCACUGAGCCGUGCAACAAAAAAUGUGAGCUUUAUCUGAUUAGUAUUCUGUAAAAUGAUCAGUAUUGUAUCUAUCAUAUGGUAAUCCUUCUCUAUACCUCUCUUAUGUUAUAACUGCAGAUGUUACGUAUCUUUCUCUCAACAUUAAUAGCACAGUAACGUGCACAAAGACGCGAAACAGUGAUCUCCAUCUCAGCCACUUCCAUCACCUCAUUCCUCUCUCUCUCUCUCUCUCUGACACAAGCCUCUUAUACGACCAGCGAGUGAGCCAAGGAAAGAGUCACCUCAUGACGUACGUGCCAAGACAGAGCCAUGCACACAUCACGUAGACUUCUUUGCGACGAGCCUCGGAAGGCGUAAGCGCGUCGGGCUUGAUUGACGAGCAGGCAUGUACGAACGCUGACGUACGUGCCCCGUCGCGUCCCUCUCACGCGUGUCUCGCCGCUCGUGCCGACGUCCGAGGUUUGGCAGAGACGUGGAUACGCAUUCUUCUUCUUCUUCUUCUUCAGCAUGUCUACCGUGGUCUGAUGGUUCUUUUUGAGUAUAUUUGAGAUCCUUGUGCAAUGAGACAUCAAAAAUACGUGUUGGUUGCAAAAGAUCAACACAGUUCGCUUGAUGGAUUGUCCAAAAGCUCAGAGAGAGAGAACAUUACAAAGGAAGAUAGUGCAGAAAUCUCUCCCAUCUCUCUCUCUCUUUCUUUGUUCAGUUGAGCAGUCUUCUUCUAAUCAAAACAAGUCUCACAGCUUCCCUCAGAAACUUUGUACAUGGAGUGACAGUUUUCAUGGUCGCAGAGAUAAAAGCUGAGUUCAUGUUUACUUGUGGCUGGAUGUCUCGUCAGAUCAUUUUCUAUGCAAUUUGUCAAGGCAGUGCUUCAAGUACUUCUGACAACAUUGACGGGUCUGCGUUGAAAGAGGCGAUUGGUGUGACCUGAGCAGUCUCAGAUCUCUGUGCCAACGUAAACCAUGCCAAGAACAACUCGUCGGCCUCAAAGCUCAGAUGCAGGUGUUGUAAGCCGAGUUCUGUCUUGCUGAAGAACUCUGAUGCACUUUUAGCAGUUCAUGUUCAAGGUGGAUUAAGAUAUAUAUUGAUGAAUUUGUAUGCAUGUUUGUAUCAAGUCGCAUACAAGUUCAUAAUCUCACAAAUUUUGGAUAUCUGAAUCUAAUUCUACAUUAUGGGCUCAGCAAAUGCCCCAACUCAUUUGACAUUAGGAUGAUGAAAACACUGCACUAGGUUUAGUUCUUAACCCAAAUCUAAUAAGUUUCCAUCAAUAGGAUUGGUUGCCCUGCUUUUUAUAUCAUAUCAAUAAAGUAACUUCAACAUCUGAUUUGCAUGAUAAAAAGAGUGAAAGAUUGCAUAUGUCAACUCAUCUCAAAUAGUUUAAAUGAUAUCCAUGAGAUGUAACUCACUGUUCAUCCAAAAGAGAAGCCCAAGCAGCAGUUUUAUACUGUGAUCCAUGAAUUUGUAAUGAAUGCCCCCACUUGAUAUUUCAACAACCAAAAAGGUAUAGCCCAAUAUAUAUAUAUAUAUAUACACACACACUUGUACUCUGACAAUUUCUUGGGUCCUCAUAAAGUUCAUGUCUCCAGGUCUGCCAACCAGAUCUGUCAUGUUCAUGCUUUUAGAACAAUUUCCCAGUAAAAAAAGAAGCAAAAAAAAAAAAGAAAAAGUAACAUCUAUAUAUCAUCAAUGGCACAUCUUUUUCAGUGAAAACACCAUCUGUCAUGACCUUUAAACAUAUAAUAGCCACAUUCCUUUAUCACUGUGGCAAUGAGUGAACUCAGAUCUCCACCUUCCCUUUUCCCAACAUGUAUAACAGAAAGAACUGUACACACAGUUGUUUGUUGCCUUAAUCCUCUACCAAAAAUUCCUUACACUCAGUCAGAACAAAUAUGGAUCAAAACUUGAGAUCUGAUGACACCUAUUUAACAGUACCACAGUGAUCCAGGUUCUCUGGGCAGCUUCCUUGAUCAACCUAAUGAACUGUCCGACUGCUUGUUUGAAUGAAAGAAAAGAAUUAGCUGGUUAAUUUGUGUUGUUAGUAGUAGCCAAAUGAUUUUGGAAUGGGGUCCUUGUACAAGACUUUUGACUGGAUGUUCAGCAACCAAAUAGUUUCUCCUGGCAGUCAGACAAGCAGAAAAUGCAAGCUGUAAAUCCGAAAGUAGUUUCAGAGAUGAGUUCAAAUGUAAAGGAAAAGCAAUUACCUUUGGGUUAAUCUCUAAGUGUCUGUUCCCUGGUGGUUGCUGGAAACCAUAGAUGACAAGAUAAAUUUAGCUGAAAUUGCAGGUCUAUAGAAUUCAAAUACAAACAUGCCAUAGUUGAAAUUUACUUUGGGUAAGAAAUCUGAUCAAAAAUAUUAUGAAUGGAAAGAUGUUGAACUGUUCACAGACAAAUUUUAUAGAUAUAAAAGAAGGCAGUUACUUGAACUAUUGGAUUUGUUUAAAUGAGGAAUAAGCACCUGCUGUCCUUGGUAGAUGCCGAGUACAGAAAGAUUAUGAAGCUAAUUAUUGGGCCGAAUAAGUGCAGAACAACCUGCAGUGAUGAGAAAAGAAAUCAAUAAUGACAGGAAGUGAUCAACAAUGCACGAUGUCACGUAGAAAAGGCCAAAAGGAGUUGUAAUGAUGGCAUGCCUGGCUGACUCUUCAAUAAAAGACAAAAUUUAUGACCUUUAUUUUUAUUCAGUUGUUUUCAGCCUCAACAGUAGAAACUGGGUUCUGUGAAACCAUGUGAGUAAGGCAAGAGUUCUUCCACCUCUACCCGAGAGCUAGAACAGCCCAUGUUCCUAAACCGGUUGCGAUUGAUAAUUUCAACCUCUGCAUUGAAAAUGCUGUAUACGGGUCUAUGAUCGGAGAAUCUAGACUCUCCAUGCAAGUAAGUCAAUUGAGUAAGACCUCUACCAUACCAUAGUAUUCGGUCACACCUUCAACAGAACAAAAAAGGGCCCUUAUUAGCUUCAGAAAAUUGAGGAUAUAAUAAAAAAGACAAAGAUGCAACUUUUAGAAACUAAGAACACAUAAUGAGAAGCUUUUGCCAAAGAGGUUAUUUAAGAUUCUACCAUGCAGGUGUCCGCCGCUUCUCUUUUCGGUGUAUGUCAUCCCCUGCAUAUCUGUCUGAGUUGUUUGAAUAUUUAUAAGUUGGAGGAAAAAAUAUUCUUCCUUCUUUCCACCCUUCAAAAACAUGUCCACAUCUUUGCUCUAUCCGAAGCUGUUCUGACAAAAAGGGAUUAGAUACUUAUACAACCAGUUUAUGAAUGCAUAAAGAGGAAUUGAAGAAUAAUGGCUUUUCCUGGGCCACACGAGACCUUUAUGCACUCCUAAGAGAGAAUCUAAAAGGAACUAGAUUCAAUACCUUGAGAGAUUUCCAUACUUCAGAAUAAUCUUACAAUAUGCUAACCAAAAAGCAACACUAAGAAACAUGUAGUCGAAAAGAAUGGUGAACCACCUGAUCUUUUUCCAACAGUGCUCUCCAGUUGUGCAUCUCAACUAGAGCCUUUGCUGACUGAUAGGAAAGAGCAAUGCGGUAGUUCAAAUCUCCAAGCCAUAUGAUACGACUGACAUAAGAAAAGGAAUCAGAGCAUGCUUCUCAUGAGUGCUGGCCCUUUGUGGUCUGAGAGAAACAUGAGUGAAUUGAAUAGCAAUAUAACAGGCUUACUCGUGAUCGAGAAUUGUUUCGGGAGACUUCUCAUCACAUAUUCUAUGCACCGGAGGGAAUCUAGUUUUUCUUAAAAUUUCCAUAACAUCUGAGUUCCUCCGUAGUUCAUCCCCCUCUUUCUGUCCUGACGUCAAAUGACUACAGAUGAAGCAGAAGCUAGUUUGGUGCAAAGACAUGCUGAUUGAUAUUGAACCCUGGAAAGAAAAGAAGAAGACUUCUUUUUAUUCAGGACAAGCACACACAAAAGGAACUGUAGAAGUUGCAACAAAUACAAAUGCAAAAAUAAAAGGAUUUGAGGGAGGGGUGGGGGUGAAGAGGGAUGGUUUUAGCAUGACUUCAGAAAUUAAAUCAAUCAGGAGUCAAGAAGAGAUGAUUUUGCAGCAUUCAUGUCCUUUAAGGCAUGAGAGACUAAGUGAAGUAGAACAUCGGUCCAUGACCUGGAUUACCUUAUUUCCAAGAUAACCCAUUAAUCCCCUGCCAACACAAGAAACCUUCAAGUUCUUCACGUCACCUCUGAUUUCACUUCGUACCCAAACUGUGAGAAAUAUGCCAACCAUCUGUUUACUUGCGACCAAGCAAUAUCUAGAACCGUAACAUAGCAUUAUUCAGAAUUUCUAAAAGAUAUAAAACUUAUCAGUAAGAACGGAACCAAAUCAAAUUGAUGAAAUCGUUGAUAGGAAGUACCUAGAGUGAUAUGACGAAAUAUCCCGUUCCUCCACGUAUGCUGGAUCACCAUAAGCACAUGACAACGGUGAGAAAAAACCUGUAGAAGGUGAUUCUCCCCCAAAUUUCUUGUCAUCGAAUAAGCCUCCACAUCUAAAACUGGGAUCAAAGUUACUUGGUCUGCUCACAAUGCUCACCGGAUCACAAACACUAAACCGGCGUUCCAACCUCGGUUGCAUUACCAUGAUAUCACCAUCAAUACUCAUACUACGACUCAUGGAAUGGAAUGAACGCCGGUGGAAGAAUGAUGAAUUUUUCUUCCCUGUUGAGGACCCCUCAAAAUCAGCAUCUAGUUCCACAAGUGGAUCAGGAACAGGGGAUGAUAUACUAUAGCUGCCGCAACUGUAUGUGCCAGGAAGAGUAUUCAGUGUUUUUCUAAUAAGCGCCAGCCAUUUCUUUGCUGGAACGUUGUCUUCUGCGCCGAGGACGUUUCCAGCAUUGAGAGGAACGAUCUCUUGAAAUCUGAAAGGAAAAAAGGAAUAUAGUUGACAUAAACUACUUCAGUGUCACUAAUUUUAUACUGCUAUAGCGUGUUUCUAUUUUCUUUCAAAUAUCUUAAAAUUUACAGGAGGAAAGCAGAAAAAUUAACCCCAAAACAUAUAUGUCUGCGGGAGGUGAAGCAUGGAUCCACUCCUCAAGAUUCAAAUUUCUCGGUGGAGACUUCCCACCUACAUUCCAUGUCGAGAGAAAAAUUCUAGAAACCAAAGGGUAGAACAUUUUUGGAUCACAUAUCAAAUUGGAGGCCACUCAAAGAUAAAAAGAUUGAAAGGAGCCAAAGAAAAAAAGAGGAAGAUUACUUGUAGUCCUGAACAUCUGUACUUUGAGCUGCGUCAACAUCUAAUUUUCCUUGCCAAACUCGAUCGUAAUUCUUCUUGUACAAUCGCUCUGAGGACCAUGAAGGAAAAUUACCAAGAAAGAAAUUGUGAAAGCCGGCACAGGCGAAACAAAAGAAACUAGCUAUGUAGUUGUGGUCCAAAGUUAUUAACCAGAGAAAGCCCGAUACUUUAUACCUGUUCUGCUUUUCUUUACUGUGCAUGUCUCCCUUUCUGUGAAGCUGGUCCUCCAUUCCCCAUCACCUCCUGAUGAACACAGAGAAUAACGAAUAAAGAAAAGGAAGAGACCAAGAAAAAGGGUGUGGCUACUGGCUGGUGUACUUAUAUUCUAAUGACUUUUACGAGUUUAUGCAUAGCCAAAGGAACAGAUUUAGUACUGCACAACACAUCAACAGGAUGAUAUUUCAGUUGCAGAUGUAGGCGAAAGCCUACUAACAAGCAGGGCAUAUGGCAAAGCAACCAAGAAGAAAUAUAAUAUCCCCUAUCCAAAUUCAUGCAGUAGAAAUUUCUAACCAUGAGAACGACUGCAUGAUAACUCAACACAAAACAACUUAAAGCUGUAAGCAUGAGAACAACUGCCAUAGGAAUAGAAGCAAUUAGAACUACCUUCUCCAGCUAAAUCAUCAUCCGCAUGGAAAUCCUGAGGCUUGCUCUUGAUGUUGAACCAUUUCCUAACAAGCGUCUUGGACCACGAUAGCUUCUCCAACAAAAUGAGAGGGAAAAACGGGACCAAAUCAGCAAUCUUUCAGACCAAACAGAGGCACAACGAUAAAAAUCAAAUCUUUCGGCAGGAAAACCUUGCUUUUCUUCGAGUUCUCAUCUCUCAUUGUUUCAGCACUCCUUCAUGCAGCCGCCGCGAGGUGGUUCCCCUCCCCACCUAGAAGCCUUCAGAAAUCUGGGCCUUGUUUGGAUCCCAAUGGAGAAGAACAGCAAAAGCCGCCCUUUUUCUGCGUGCUACGUGACAAAAGACCGAUUCGAAAGAUUUUCCCACGGAGAUGGAUCAGGGAACUAGGAAGCCGCAGGAAAAGAGAAAGCCGGCUAUCACCCUCGACAAAGGUACAUCACCCGAGGGUCUAUCGCGGAAAACAACGAGAACCGAGCAGGAGCCUGAGGAUCCUCUCCAGUCCAAAGCGGAAAGGGAACGAAAAACCUCUCCUUUCGCAAAUGGGACUUCGAUUUAAAGCUUCGGGCUACAAGUCUAACGCAAUGCGGGGUGGUAAAGAUCAGAUUUUGGAUACAGAAACUCUGAUAUGGGCACUGAACGGAAGAAAAAAGAGAGAAUGGGAGAAUGGGGGAAGCAAUGGAGCGCUCACAUUCACAGACACCGCCCUUUCUUUCUCCUCAACCUCGUCCUCGGGGCACAGCAAAGUAUCCAAUUUGUAGCGAAGAGAAUAAAGCGCAAGCGUUGAGCGCUCUCUCUCUCUCCCCCUCUCCUCUUUGAGGCUUUUUUUUUUGGUUACCCAAAAUCGGAGCAAAGCUGAUGAAUAAAUAGGGAAGAAAUAAAUUUCUUUUGCUUAAAUAUCCUGAAAAAUAUCAUUUUAUUGAUUUAUAUUAUACUAAGAAAUUAUAUGCCACUAUCGUGAAAAUCCAUUUUACAAAACCAGAUUAACCACUUAUAAUUAUUAUUAAUAUUAAUGAUUUUAAAUCACAAAGUAAAUAAAAAUAAAAUACUUGAGAUUUUAGAAUUUAAUAUUUUUUUAACCUAAAAUUAUAAUUUAAUGAUGAGAUAUGGAAUUCAUCUAUCAAAAUUUAAGGUUUGAAAACCUCAAUAGAUAUUUUAAAAAUAUUAAUUAGCAUACAUGAUAAUGAUUUUGAUCGGUAUAAAAAAUCUUAAGAUAGAAUUAUGUUUUAUUUGGGAGUCACAUCUAGCCUUAUGUCAAUCGGAGUUUUAAGGUACUGAGAUGAUUGACGCUUUAUAACAUAUGAAAGUGAUCUAAAUUAUCCAAAAAUAAUAAUUUUUGUACUAUUUAUCGUAGUUGACAUAAUAUACGAAAAUAAUUCGAAAACUAUCUAACAUCGAUCUUUAACUAUUUAUCUUGCUGCUUGGGAGCCCCAUCUAACACUAGAGUUUUAGGAUGAUUUAUCUUAUAUUAAAAAAUUAUAAUAUCAUAAUGAAUAGUUUAGAGACUACUAAUCUAAAUAAAAAUAUCAUAUAUAUAUAUAUAUACACCCCUUUAUUUCUUCCGGUGCAGUGAGAUCAUUGUACUGCUUCACUGUCGCUUCUGUAGAUGAAAUCCUCGCAUCUACUGGGAGAAAAAAAUCUCAUUGAUAGGCUAGUGUGUGUAGAUGAGUACAAGUGUUGGAAGAAUGGGGGGUGUGAGAGUAGUGUGUCUCUCCUCUCUUUGAGUUCCAUUUUGUCCUUUCAUCCCUUCCAAGACAGUGAGACCACUGUCAUCCUUCGGUUACAGGGCUGUGAUCUACAGGGAAUGGGAAUGUUUAAAGGAAUUCCCACUUUUUUGUUGCAUGGAGAAAGGUAGGGUUUAGCUUCUGAGAGAUAGAUCCAAGUGUGUUCCUUGAACUUUGGGCUACUCGAUGCUGGCCGAUGCCUACCCUUGGAGGUCGCCGUCGAGCUGGCUCAAUGCUUGAUGAGGAGGUAGAGAGGCCUAGUCCUGCCUUUGGAUGCACAAAGCAAUUGGAUGACACUAUUGCUUGAUUUAGCUCCUCAAAUGGCCUCUGUUUUGAGGUCUGAACUGCACCGGUCUAGGAUCCUAGCAUGCUUAGAUUUGGCUGAGAGAGAAAGGAGGGUUUGAUUACGCAAGUUAUGGUUAACGAGAGUUUGGAGAGCAUCGAAAGGCUGGAAAUUGCAUCUCAUGAUCUGCAAGCGGGCAUCGGACUAGUGUGAUUCAUGCAUCAUUGCAUGCACAAGAGGAGGAGGAGGAGGAGGUGCCCUCUGUAAGUUGUGGAUGGAAGAAGAAAAGAAGGAGAGAGAGAUGGAAGUGCACGAGUGAUAUCACUAGUGCACUCGUGAGAUGAAUGGCAAUCCUUUUCCCUCGUUCGAGCUCCACUUCUGGAUUCCCCACUCACUGGGAGGGGUUAACUAAGAUCACAGAGACGACUUGGAUUCAAUGAAGACAGGAUGAUCACACUAAGUGAGUGGCUCAACGCCAUUGGCUUCGGCUCGUGAAGCAGUUGAAUUCGGUGUGCGAAUUGUUAGCAUAAAAAAAAGAGGAGGAGACACAGAGAGUCAAUGGGUAAGCAGUACCAACAGGGAUUAGAUCUAAAGGUUCUUCCAUACUAAAAUAGUCUGUGCUUACAGCCACACCGAGAGUCACAUGCCGACAGCUGACGGUAACAAAGAUUACACAUUAAGAAGAUCAAGUUGGGAACAUGGGAUCGUCCUCUGUGAUGAAGAGCAGCUGCGUUGAGAAAACAGCGAGCUACUGUUCCCUGUUGCGUACCUAAAUUUCUGGUUCUCUCUCGUUAGAUAGAUAGGUGUAGGCGACUUGUGAGAGUGAAGCACUCUAUAUGAGUUUUGAUCGUAGAAAGUCCCAGCGGCUGCAAGAAGAACUCAAAAAGCUGCACUCACUGAUUUCCACUUCUUUUGAUUGUUAAGAGAGACUGACUGUCUUGAUUGAUUGUUAGGGUGUGACAGCACCUUCAGUCCCGAAAUGCCACUAGUUGUUUAACAAUUUUGGAAAGAUCAUGUGCAUUUGGAGUCCAUUGUCAAAGUCUUUUGAUGGAGAUCAUUCAAGAUUCACAUGCGAGGUACAGCAGCCCAUUGAGUUGUAUGUGCAAACUUCAGUGGAUCAGCAUGACAAAUUUCCAGCGAAGUACAUCCAUCCAUAUUAUAUUUAUUACAUGGAGAGAGAGAGAGAGUGUGUGUGUGUUGUAACUCAUUGUUUUACGUUUAAGCAUAGAAUUCAUUUUAUUAUUCUCACCAGUUUUCUUUACUUGGAAACCAUCUCUAUAGUUUGCAAUCUGCACAACAUGUGGAGUGGUUAUAUGCGCGAGGAGAGAGAAAGGGUAGUCAAAGGAGAGAUCUAACAAAACUUUGAGCAAAGUAUCUUCUCGCUCGCUCUCCUUUCCUUUUUUUUCAGCUUUAAGACCCUCCCUCUAUACCGAGCUCAUUGAGCUUUACUCUUUCUAAUGGUUUUGUGCGAACAUGUGCCCGUAUCCUGCAGGCCUUUUCCUUGUGUCAUUUUCUUGUACCUCUCUCUCCCUAUAUAAAGGAGGAGUACAUGAUAUGUGAGUGAGUUCCUCCUGAUAAAGCAACUUUGGCUCUCUAACUGCUGGAGUUUGUCGAACAUAAAUGGACGAGAAGAAAUCAAUAUGAAAGAGGGGAGAAAAAAUGAACAAUAACACUGAUUUAUUGAGUGAACAAUGUUUCCAAAUGUUUUCACAUUUUGAAGACUUGACAAUGACUUGUUGCUAUCCCGGAAGAAAAAAAUUUCUCUUUAGGAAAGCACUAUCAUCCAUCACCAAAACAAUCAAGGGAAAGCAGGUGGUCAACUCUUCUCCUUGGAAUUCAACUCAACUCAUGUAAACAACUUACAAAGGCUGUGUCCAUGUAAUGUUGAGAAUCACAUCCUAUGUGUUGAAACUGAAGCUCGGUGUUACAAAAAUUCAAGCUCAUAAAAAUAAUGGGAUAAAUAAAAGCAAAACAUCACAACACCCAGGAGGACAUGCUCUUGGACUACGUGGCUAUAACAUCUUUCUUAUUUCCCUACAAAACUGCAACGAACAACUUGCAUAGAACAUCUAUCUGCUUUGUACAGAAUCCACAGGCCUCAUCCGGAAAUCUCCCUUUUAUUAAUUUGUGGUUCAAUUCUUGCACCAAGAUGCGGGGGCAGCCUGGUCAGAGCACUUAAUAGAAAUCCAGUUCACCACUUACAGUAACUGGUGGUACAAUGUCGAUCCUUGUUGCUUUACCUUCGGAAACCAAUUGAGGCAGUGUAUUAGCCUCCUUCGGUGCUGUGCCUGGUGCAGUCCAAAGCGUCGCAUGAGGCCACUCAUUUUUGGAGUUUAUCUUUUCACCAUUGAUCGACCCCAGUUGUGCUUCUAAAGCAGCUACCUUGUCAGAGAAUAGCAAUGCCGUAAAAUCAACAGGGAGAUUCUGAUUCAAAAAGACACCAUAACUAGCAACAGUAGUGACACCGUGACUUCUUUUAUGGGCAAGCGUUACAUGCGCUUUCAUCAGAUUGUUCACCAAGCUUUUGUCCUCAAGGAAACUCUUGGCUUUUGGAUCCUCAUUCGCUAACUGUUUCAGAAACAAAAGUUUGAGGUUACUGUAGUACCACUAGACGUCAGUUACAACAUUGUAACAUUACAGGGCGAGUAGGUAAGAACAGGAAUGGUACCAAUGGAAUUUGAGGGAUUGUGAGGUCCAAAAUACUGCAUACAAGAAUGCAUAGAUCAGGUAUUACCUUAUCCAAGAGGUUUUUAAUUUCUCCGACAGGCAGUGUGACAGCAGCAAAAACGAUGUUACCAAACUUCCUCUUCUCAGUAUCAGGGGUCUUGUACUCGCCUUUUGCCACAUCCUUCAGCUGCUCUAGGACUUGUUUCACAGCGUAGUCAAAUGGAACCUAGAAAGUAGAUGCCAACAUAUCUCAGAUGAAUAUGAACAAAUAAACAACUUACCGAACCAUAUAUAUAUAUGUACAUAUAUAUAUAUAUUUAUAUAUAUAUAUAUGCAUUUACCUUGUUUACUUUUAAGUCCAAGAAAAUGAUAAAUUAAGGAAUACAAAAUAUGGAUGACAUACAGUAAAAUGCUUCAAUCAACAGGAUCAAAUAUCAAAAUAUUCCAUAAAUUGCAUUCUAGACAAUCAAGAAAAGGAUAAGAAGUCAUUGACAGUGCCAUGUAGACCCUCUGACAUAACUUACUAGAAUCUAUGACAAACAUAUAGGAAGUAUCAAUAAUUGAUUAUGAUUGUUAUCAUGAGAACUCUACUGGUGUUUCUCUUGUUCAUCAUGUUACUACUUGACAAAUCAAAAUGAGUUGAUAAUGGAAAUAACUUACAUGAUGGAGACCAAACAAGAGAAGAAUGAAAUCCACCUUAGCUGAUCAAUAGUUGAUAGAAUAACUAAUUAAGGAGAUAUGCACAUGAUAAAGGUUGUUAUAAUAGAUAUUAAGAUUAUAUGCCUUGUGGAAAAUUCAGCCCUUCAUUGAACAAUUAAUUACCUCCCAAGUAGGAAAAUGGCAGCCAUCAAACAGAAAUUGGUAUUAUUUGACUUCUUUUCUGUACAUGGUGCAUUAAAGUUUAAACAAUGGUUUUUCUGUAGAUUGUAACUUUAAUAGCAUUUACUUAUACAGAUAAUGAUAUUAUUGCUUUUAAGUAGAUUCUACAUUGAACAAAUGUUUUUUCAAAUUGUAACUUCAAUAACAAUUGCAUACUAGAUGGUCAGGAUAAAUGAUAUGCAUAUAUAUAGGGUGCACAAAGAUGCUGUCACAGCCAUGAUAAUGUACUACAUGAAUUUAAACUGGAACCAUGUACAGAAAGGAAUCACCUUUGCUGACUGUAGUAAAAGAAAUUGUACAAUGUGCAAAAUAAAAACCUAACAUGGUCUUGCACCUGAAUGGAGUUAAGAUGAUCAGCAUUUCCAAACAAAAUCUCUCGCAGCCUUUUCUCCCAACGAGCCCACUCUUUUGCAUAUGAGCCUUUGGCAGGUUCCAUUCUAUGUUGACAAUGUUUUUUGUUAGUUAACAUGCAAUAGGAAAUCAUUUCCAUUUAGCUAUUAAGAUAGAAGAGUAAAUUAAAAAAAAUGGAAAACCAAUUUCUGGAAAGAAAUUUAGAGACACGAUUAAUUUUUUGUAUUCCGAUAUAUACAAUCAUCUGCAGUUAAUCUAGCUUUAGGUCAAUAAAUGACUCGAUGAUUUCAUCCAAAUUCUAUUAUUAUUGGGCAAUAACUUCAGAAGAAUGGAUUAUUCUCUUUUAAAGAACAAAAAUAGGGCUGGGCACGCAACAGGACGGCAUUACAUUAAUACUAGGUAUUGCUCAAAGGUGUAAGAUGAACAACAACACUGUCCACAUCACAAGUGAUUGGCUGCACCAUCGACAGCAACAAUUACUGAUUAUUACAUUUUCAAAACUAGCAGUUACUCGGGGUCUGCAGUACCGAACUGUACCGCCCGGUAUGGGCAGUACGUACUGGUCCGACCGGUUGUCGGUACGCGGACCGCCUGUUACCGGUCCGAGUGUAAUGUAGCACUGUAGCAGUGCUACAGUACUCGUCACACCUGAGUGUACCGCUCGGUAUACCCUACCGUACCGGCACCGAGCCCAGAUCGAAAUACCAGUACGGUACGGUAUUGCGAACCUUACAGUUACUAAUGUUUUGCUACAUUUCCAUAUUGAUAAACAGAAAACCUCAGGUAGGAAGUCAGACCUAAUAAUAAAUAAGAGGUUUUCAAAGUGAAGCAAAAAAAUUAAACCAACAAAAAGGCAGAGCAGGAAAGCAAAUAAAAUAGAGAAAACUAACAAGUAACAAGUAAAUAUCACUAAAACAGAGUGUUGCAAUAUGAACAGAAUAUAUGAGAAGAGAGGUGGGGAGAGAAUAAUGAUUGGAGGGGCUGAGGCAGGGGAGAGAGAUGGUCGGAGGAAGAGAGGGCAUCUUAAAAAAUGAUGCGAUUAAAUAAGAGAGGAUUACUUUCUUUCUCAUGUUAAGCCUAAUUUCAAAAUUGAUACAAUUACCCUCUUAAUUAAUGAAAACAUUUAAGUCAUGGGUAUUUGAGUAAUCUUAUCUAUAUUUACAAAACUGAAUUGAUUUUAUUGAUCUGGCCAAUUCAUAUGGGUUAUCCAAAAACAGGUCAGGUCAACCGGUUUUUUUGCAAUUUUUUAACAAUAACUGAUCCAACAAGUAAAUUAGACCAGUUAGUGGUUUGGUUCUUCAUUUUUCUGGUCCAACACUGGGUUCAGUAAGAAUCUAAUAACUAUGCUUAUACAUAUCGAUUUGGUCACCAAUCAGUAUUAGUAUCAGACCAAGAUUUAUCGUUGAAAACUUGUGCUUGAUUUGUAAGGUGAAUGAAUCCGCAAAAACUACAUGAAAGUUUGCAACAAAGAAGUUCUAAAAACCUCAUGUAUAAAGAAAGUUUGUUAGUAGUUAAUGUCUCAUCAAAAUCUAUAUUGAACAAAGAUAAAGUCAUGAUUUAAAUACAUGUCUAAUCUUAAUCAGAGGUCACAGUGAGAGGUCAUCAUCAGAUUCAUCACAAUAACAUACAUAACAUAGUGUUCAGUACUCACUAGACCUUAAGAGUGUUUCCAUACAACAACAAAUAAGACAGUUGUUUAAAAUUGAAGGGGCGAAAGGGACAGAAAGGUAGAAGGGGUAAAUAGGGGAAAAAAAGAAUCAGGUGUACUAACACAAAGGUUAAGGGAAGAAGAUAAACAAGCGUCAUUUGGCCUAUGAAACUAAGAUUCAGUUGAUAUAUUUUUAUUCAAUAAAAUUUCUCUAGUUCUAUUUGAACAUAUGAGACUCGCGGUAACGAUGUUUUUGAAUGCAGAGAGGCUCCUAUUAAGAAAUAAGAAAAAAAAAAUUAUCCCCAAAAUUUUCCUCAUAAUUUCCUGCAGAUAGAUUUUCUUUUCCACUCAAAAUGACUUGGACUCCUAAUGGCCAUCUGUUGGUCAAGUCCAAUAAAAAUCCACCUGACUCACCAACUGAUUAAAGAAUUUCAGGCCGAACCUCCCAACCACUUUGCAUUAAAUAUGGUUCCCGCUUCUCUUCCCCAUUCAGUACUGAAAAGCCUGUCAUAUUAAUUAGCAAUUCCCAAGUUGGAAAGUCAAGCGAAGUGAACAAGCAACACCAAACUUAUCCUAAUGUCAGAGUGGGUGCUUUAAGAGUCUGUCAUAUGCACUUAAGACACGUCCAAUGAUAAAAUGAAGACAUGUACAUGAUAAGAUGGAACUGGAUGAGAUUCCAAUGAGAUGGCUUUCAAAACCAUCUGACUGGUCUCGAAUCUUGUUCAUCUCUCAUGGAUUUGAUGCUAAGCCGGAUUUGAUAGUCUAAGUAAUUUGGAAUUAAUUUCAUAUUUGCAUAUACUUCAGCAAAUAUGCAUAUUACUAAUGACAAUCAUAUAACAGAAAUGGCUAUUUUCUGUAGGCUAAUUUACAUGGCAAUACUACUGCAUCAACACCAUUAGACUAAUGAAUUCUUCAGAAAUACUAAUAUAGAGAUAUCUUAGUACGUAUUGUAUUUUACCUUCCAUGCCUGUUUGUGUGAAGUCUGUAAAGAUUUAUGCCUUCAUUUAGUAUAUCCUUAACAGGAUCAGGUAAUGGAUUCCUGGAAAACAGCACAAAUAUCUUCUGCAUCAUAAGGAAAUAAUGUAGGACAAAAGUCACCAAACCAUGCAAGUUCUGUAGACUAAUUGAGUAAGAAAUAUAAACUAAAUCCCAAUGCUGCAGGGUAAUGAAGUUACAACUUAGUUCAGAAUGUUUUCAUUAAAACAAUGUUAUAAUAGUUUUUAUAGUUCAUACCUAUCUGGUUUGAGCAAAGGCAUCUUGACCAAUGAGCCAAAACGUUCAUAUAGUUCACUUUCAAAUUCUCUGCGGUUCUGAAUAAAAUUCCCAAUGUCAAUUUAUCAAAAUGAAGUGAAUAGUAUAUAAAUUCCUCAUCUUAAUACACCAUACCAAAGACUAUCAAAUUUACAUGCCUUGCCAUCAUAGAGGUGGUAAAACAUCAGCAAAACAUAACCAGCAUUUGGAGAUGCCUUGUCCAGAUUUCCCUUUAAAAGUAAAGCACAAAUAAUUAUAAGUAAAAAAAUUACAAAAAUCAUAAAUAAAGCAUCAUUUUACUAAAUCACAACCGAAAAUUAGCGCAUAGCAAAUACCGGAUGGUUUACUCGUUGAAGUACACGAAAUAUGAAGAUAGCCAAAGCAUCAAGUGAAAACGGAUUAGAAUCAGUUCCUGCAAAUUAAUAUCAAUCAUCAAGAUAUGUACUUUCCAAACCAUGAGUUUUGACCAGAACAAUCUCAAGAAGUUUACAUUGUAUAUAGAAACAAUUUCACAUUAUAAACUUCACUAGCAUUCACAAAGAAAACAUUGCAUUAUUAAUAAAAAACAUCUAUUUAGUGGAAAAAAACAAAAUAUACAACUAAUUGCAGAUAUUUUAAAGCAUUGUUGAUAAAAAAUGGAUUGGAUACAGGGAGUUUAAUGCCCAUAUCCACUCUUAAUUAGCCUAAAUAGAUUAGAUAAAUAAUGCAAUUUUUAUAAUCAGUUGGUUGCCUUCUUCAGGCCCCAGCCAGGCUUAGGAGUGUAGGAUAGACCAGCAUUAGUACAGCUGACUAACCUUUAAAAUAUUAUGCAGACCAACAACUUAGAAACAUAGCGGCUUAAGGCUGAACCACUCGUAAGGCAUGCAUAGGCAUGUGAUGGCUUCUAAAAGCUCCACCAUGUGCAUCAUGGCUCAGGUGGAGCCACCUGGGGAUGCUGGAGGGAGACUGAAGGGAAGUGGGUUACCAGUACAUGGUUGAUACCAACUACAGGUGAAAUUCAUUGCAAUUCAUGGUUGCCAAUUUCACCUAUUAUUUAAAACGGCCCCCAAUCUAUUGGUCUUGUUAGAUAUAACUAUGUAUCAGUUCAUAGUUUUCUUUUUGUGGUGUAAAGAUAGCCAAUGGGCAUCUGGCCAAUUCUCUCAUCUCCAAGUUUGAGGAGUGACAACCAAAUAGCCUAAAGGUGCCAACCCUAGUAUUAUUGGCCCCACAAUAUCUGCAUGGACCCACUACUAGGUUCCAAUCAAGGAUUGAAAUUUCGCAUUGUACCGAAGUUUUGAGAUUCCCUCGGUACGGUAUGAUACCGUAUACCGAGCGGUACAUUUCGGUAUACCGCUCGGUACACACACACACACACACACACACACACACAUAUAUAAGUAAAAAAAAUCAUUUUCUGUGAUGUCGCCGAGGCGAUGUCAUAGAAAAAUGAGAUGACAUUGCCUACAUAUAUAUAUAUAACCGUUUUCGCCGACAUCGCCUCUCUUCUCCCCGCGACGCCGAGGAUUCUUCUUCCCACGCGGAUGAGGAGAAGUUGCCGACAGACAAGGAGGGAGAGCAACGCCGACUCCAGGUUCUCCCCUUCUUCUCCCUUUUCUUUCUUCCCUCGAUUAAUACCACCCUUCUCUUCUUUCUUCUCCCUCGAUCACCGCCCGGAGCAGAAACAACCCCAAUCGAUGGUCCUGCCCGGUAGCGGGCGGUUCGUGUACCGGUCUGCUGGCAGACCGAUACAUACCGCCCAUACCAGACGGUAUCAUUCAAAAUUAAAAACCUUGGUUCCAAUAUCCAACCUAACCUAAGUAACACGACUGAACCAAACUCAAAUCAAGGCCUGAAUCAAGGCUGGAGUCAAGGCUUGACUGAUUCUCGAUUGGCCCUUUUGCUUAAAGGGGUCUUCUAAUGCCACUAGAAGACCCUUCUAAUCUCAAGACUAUUACUCUAUAGUUCCUUAGCAUUCUUUGUUAUCUCAACCUCUUUUGUUUCUCAAACUUUUCUUGGAAGAAACCAUCCUUCCUUCAAAAAAAUGGGCAAUUGAUAGGAAAGGAAAAAAAAAUACUAGCAAGGGCUUUGUAAACAUGGCAAUUAGAAUGUCGGAUUUUAUCAUCUAAUUCAAUAACAAUCGAGUAGCAACAUGCUAGAUUCACAAUUUCAAGUAUCUAAAAGUUAAAGGGGGCAUGUGCAUCAAAAGCCAAGGGUUUGAUAAUUCAUAUAACCUAUCAAGUGUAAAUAUCAAGUAUUUCCUUGCAAACUUUCAAAAUAAAUGCAAAUGCCUUUCAGUUAAACCUUUGAGACGGAUGGCUGUGCAGCAAAAACAAUAGCUUUCUCUUUGAGUAGCAUCAUUAUAACUAAUUAAUGUGUUGGUGGCAUAGCCAUGUCAAUAUAACAUGGAUAGACAUCACCGGCAAUAAGACGUGGCCAGUUUGUGUCAACAUGUCCACCUGAGGGUAAUAUGGUAUUUUGGCACCUUAGUGCUAAUAACCAUAUAUAUACCCAGUUUAGCCCAGAAUAGAGGUGAUGGAAAAUGCUACCUGUAGAGCUUCCAAGCUUUAAAUGGGUAAGUGAGAUAUUCACAAUUUUUGCGAAAUAUGUAGCACAUUUCACAAGUUUGCAGGUUACAUGGGCCAAUUGUCCUGAGAUUUCAACUUAUUGAGCCAAAUUUUCAAAAAUAAAUUGAAGCCAAAAGCAAGGUAUUCUCUGAUGUAAUCAAGGAACUUGAACAACAAGUAAAUGAAUCCUACUGAUCUAGAAUGUUUCCAUUAAAAGUAAAAAUGUAAUACAAGAACACAGUUUCACUUUAAAAAUAAGUAUAAUCAUUCACAUUAAUUGGAGCUUAAAGCUUACUAUUUGAAGCAUCAAAAUCUAUAGGCAACCUUAAAACUUUCAACAUUUUAUUUAAUAUUAGGACUAGCUAUGGAUAAAAGAAAGGUAAACAGAAAAUUGUUGGCAUUGCUUAUACUAAUUAUGGGUCUAUUUGGAUCAUGGUUUUGACUUUGAAUACCAAAUUGAUACCAAUUCCAACACAUUUUCAAACUGAUACGCACUAGUAUAUUGGGCAAUAUAUCAAACUAUACUGUCUGGUAUCAUUAAAAAAUGUUAAAAAUGAAUCCAGCUGGCAUAGAGCCAUAUGAUCCAACAUUGGUCCUUUAUUACUGUUGGCUCGUAUUAGUCAAACCAACAUUUGAAACCAUGCUUUAAAUAAUAAUUUAAUGAGAUAACAAAGAGACAGAAAAGAGGCAAGGAAAAAGAAGAUAGGCAAGGAGAAGAAAGAAGAGAAGACCACUUUCCCUUACCUUGUCUGGAUCAACAGAAGGAAGAGAAAGGAUCACUUUUAUAUCUUCCUUCUCUCCAAAUCUCUCCAACUAUUGGAGGAUAUGAAAAGGGUGUUGAGAGAAUUUUAACACCUCUUUCAUGACUUUAACCAAACAAGAGAAAGCUACUCUCUCUCCAUUUCUCUCCUUAUCAAAUAUAAGAGCCUACUUCUCUUCUCUCCACUUCUAUCCAUCCAGAAGGGCCAUAAAAGUUGCAGAAAGUCAAGAAUGCAAAAACAAAUAGGAAAAGAUUAACUUGCCAAAAACCAACAAAGCAAACCUUCGGAUUCAGGUAUGACAGGAACAGCAGAGGCCUUUGUACUUCGGCACAUAUCCUCAAUCUGGAAUUUGGACAAACCCUUUAAAGUUUACUUCCAAACUAAGAAAAACCUUCAAUAAAGAAGUAUAUAACAGUAACUAUGAGAUUUGCGUACCUGCCUCCACACUUCCUCGUUCGGUGCAUUUUUGUCAGCAAGAGUUAUGGCAUAGGGUCUUUUCUUACGCUCAUCAGCAACCUUUUGCCAAUAUCUUCCUGCAACGAUAUGCUUGAUCAUGUUUAUCAAACACAUCAUAAAAGGAAACCUCAUGUACAUCACAGAUCAAACAAAGGUUUCAUUUACACUGGUCGGAGAUCUGGUUCACAAGCCAAGAAUUUUUUUUUAGUUAAACAAGUCAUAAUGUCCGAACUAUAUGAGAUCCGGUACACGGAGUUCCAGCCCAAGACAAUAUACAUCUGCAUGUACGAUUAAUACACAUAUAUGAGAUCCGGUACACAGAGUUCCAGCCCAAGACAAUACACAUCUGCGAGUGUUAGGGUUGGGGAAGUCAGGGAAAUCGCAAGAGGGAGCCUGAUAUUGGUGAUUUAGUUGGUUCAAUUGAACCAACUAAAGCACCGGAGACCAACCAGACCUAAAAAUCUGGUUCGGUCGUCGGGUCUGACCCAGGCGCUCGCCCGAAGCGCCCGAGGGCUCGGGCGAGUGCCUAGGCGGCACCUCUUUGAAGCGCGCCGCUUGGAAAUGAAGCGAGGCACUCGGGCCUCGCCUCGCCUCGCCCGAGCGCCUAUUGUAAUCACUGGGCCAACCAACCAAUUUUCUCCUUUUUUUUCCCUAUUUACGGUGUCAUAUGGUACUAUUGCCAACUUCUGCAACUCUGCCAUCCCAACUUGCAUACAAGGUACCAAAAAUUGGCAUGGUCCAUUACCACAAAUCAAGAUAUAUCAUUCUAGAAAGGUAUUGAGAUGCAUUAUACUGACCCAUGGAAUACGUAAAAACAUAUGGCUAGGCCAGUUUUUAUAUUACGCUAGCGGGGAAUGCUGUCAACACACCCUCACACCAUUAAACAGUACUGCUAGCAAGAUAAUCUACCGAUAGUUGCAAAGACAUCAUUCAUAAAUAGGUAGCCCAUCACAAGUCUAUAAUCCUCUUCUAUACCUAAUCUGCUGAACAUCUAUGAGAAUGUAUUCCUUUUGGUCAUAUCAAUCUUGUUAUUGAAAAUGUCAUGCACUUUGGAUGGAUCAAAAUUUCAGAUGAAAGAAAUUAGAUGGAUCAAAACAAUUCCUUUUGGAAAUUGAAAACUAUUUCCAUGAACAGGAGAACAAAUUAGAUGGAUCAAAAUUUCAGAUGAAAGAAAAAAGGAAGAUAUUCCCCCAAACACUUUGGAUGUUACUAUUAAGCACCAGUCAAAGAUAUAAAAAACAAUAAUUCUCUCUCCAAAUGUAUUGUAAAUUUAAGAAACAUAUGCUAAACAAGUGGUACAAUUGGAUACUUCAAUUGCCAAUACAAACCAGAUGACGUGAUACCUGAAAUACCUCAACCAAACAAAUUUUCAAAAAUUUCAAGCAUAUCAGUAGAAUACAAAUUGGUAUCUACUGGACAGACACUGAGUGAAUUAAUAUGUGAACUGACCAGUUUUGCCCACCAUUAAGACUAGGCAUUCUACCCGACAGUUAGACCCAAGUGUACUUAGCAGUAAGCAUAUUGUUGGUACCUCGAUUUGGCAACCUUUUCCUUCAAGCCCAACUCAGCCCAUUUGCCAUUUUUGAACUUUAGGCUUUCACACUCUCCAAACUUGAUUGUUCUUAAUUUGAGAUCUCGGAUCAAUAUCAAACAAUUUUGUCUCCGAAACAUGGUAAACUUUAAUAUUAAAUUCAAAACUUUUGAUUAUUCAUUGUUGAAUGAAAUUUGUAAACUUGUGAAUUCUUUACCUUUAGGUCAUGAUAUCAUGAAUCUGGCUAUUGCAAUUGGUUAGCAAAGGGAAGGCAUUGCGGAGACCUCAAGUCAAGGCAGAACUCGGCUACCCAAGAAGAACUUGGAUGUACCAGUGUCGAACAGAAGGCCAUGAACAUCAAAGAAUGGGGCAUGGUACCACAUCAAUGGGUCUUCCGAGCAAUAACCAAACUAUGCUCAGGAGGGGAGAGCACAGUUUCUGUCGUAAAUGGGAUGUGAUCCCAAAGGCAUGACCAAAGCUAUCGAAUAAGCUAUCAAAGUAAAGGAAUGGGAAUUUGGGUGUAACAGAUCAAACUAACCAAAUUCUCCUGAACUAAACAAUGGAGCAUCAAUGGGAAGUCCCUUCGAAGUGCUUAGAACCCGACAACCAUCCACUCCUCGCCUUUGGGUGAUUGACUAAAGGUAGUAUAUCCUCUUAUUGCAUUACCUAAAGAAAGGGAAAUAGUGCAGACCUACUUGGAGGAGAUGAUGAAGGAUUCAAAGUUGUCAGGGAGAAUUUUGCGGGAGAAAUCCAUAGACUACUGAAGUUCUACGAUAUGGUAUUGGCAAAGCUCUAACCAGCAGCAUUCAAUCUCUUGUAGGGUGACACCUCAAAAAGGAUUGAUUGCAAGCAUGAAGGUUCUUCACUUAUCGACCAACAAAUCCAAGGGAUUCAAUAAGGAGCAAACCAACUCUGCCAACUCCUCAACUGAAAAUGUUCAGCGGCAAGUUGGAACAAAGUGGGAGGAUUAAAAUUGACACAUUAGUAGAAGAUAAGAAGCGCGUUGCAAAAUGAGAUGAUCAAGUUGCGGCAUUUAAAAAGGCUUUGUUGAGGGCAUCGAAGGAAUAAGUAGGAGAAUAUCAUGCAGAUACAACCAAGCUGUUUUGACACAUGAUGAUGCUUGACUGUUGCACUUUUCGAUGUUGUGUUACAGUUGACUAUCUCAUAGGCAGCUUGUGCAGUGCAUAAAGUAGUAAUGUCAGCCCCAUAUUGCUUUCUUGGCAGUGUGUUUUUCUUUUUGCCUUCUAAAACUCAGAAAUAUUUCUGGUUGUGUGACAUCGCACACAGGGGAAAUAACCAUAAUAGUCCCAUUCUUGGGCUCAAAACAAUAAACCCAAUAGUGAAUAGUACCUUGACCAUACUCCCUAUAUGCAGCUCUUCUUAAUUUACUUCAUGUGUGGCACAAUUUUAGAUGACGAAGGAGCAUUAUCAGUCAUCAAUUUCAUGAACCUAUAAUUUUAAUCUACAACUAUCUAAUGUUGGGGACUAUGUCCCACAACAAGUUCCAAAGAGUUAAGAUUUCUGGUAAUCUAGCCACUCGUAUGACAUUUAUAAUUUUGACUUUUACUUGGCAUAUACUUAUUCCAGCACCCUUUACAAUCUUUCUUACACAUUUUUUCUAGAUAUAUGAUUUAUCUAUAAUCCGGAAAACAAAUUUUGAUUCAUUAUGGAGAAAAAAACUGUUUUUAUUUAAAACCAAGAGGGAGUAAAUAGGUCUGACAGUUAGGCUCUUACCGGUCAACAACCUGUUUUGAUGUGCUAAUACUGUACCAGUCCAUGAGUGUAACUGCACCAACAUUGGAUUGAGAUUUUAGUCAUUGGUUAAAUAAGUCCACUAAAAUCUUAAUAUUUGACUGAAUGGGCCAACUAAGUUCUCAAUCCAUGAUUCGAAAGUCUCCAUGCCAAAGAGUGUACCCAACUGAGGAAAACAAAAUUUUAAAAUGUGCCAAACACGUACGAAAUCAUCAAGAAGUAUAAAUUUACAUAUUUUAAAUAUUUGUCUGGCUGAUCCCAUAACCAAAAUUUGUUGUACUGGCUGGAAGGGCAUAGUAGGCAUCACUGCAUUGUAUCAAGCUUUUGGAAAUGCAGAACAGAACAAUCACAAAUUGUGCACGUGUAUACAGAGAUCAUGGGCAGUGCAAUCUUAUGUACCAGCUGUCCAGAACCUAGAUAACUAUCUGAUUAGAACAGUGUGCCAACUAUUUAAAACAUGAUAGAGCAAUACCAUUCGGAGAAAUAACCAGGACAUGUAUUUUCCUGCUCAAUAAAUAUAUUUAAAAUCAUGAACAGUAAUAUAUCACUGCAUAAUAUUCAUCAUAAAUCUAAGUCUUAUGAAUAUUCACAAACCUUUUAUAAGAUCACCCAUCAAGCUGUGCACAGGGCGGUUAUCGCCGAGGCCACCAGGAGCAUUCAGUAUUUCUUUGCAUAGAGCAGACUUAGCACAGCCUGGUAUACCUGAUAAGGUAGAAACAAAAAUAAUAAGGUGGAAUAAACUUAUCAGAAUCAUUAAUGAAAUGAUAGAGAUUCUUGAAAAGGCACAAAAAGAAAGCAAGCUAUCAGUAUGGUACAGGAAACAUCAUGCCUGAGAAGAAGCAGCAGAAGAAGUCUGAUAUCUCAUUUGACUUUAAUCGCUUACCUUGUAAUCUCAACCAACCGUAAUGUCCUAAAUCUACUCUCUACAUAAAAUUAGAACAUCACUUCCUAGACCAGUCUAACCACUUAGAAGAAUUUUGCAUUUUAAUAAAGAGGCCUUUAAGUAAUAUCACUGACAUAGUAAUUGUUCUUUUUCCUUCAGCUAACAUUAUCUAAUUAUUUUACAAGAUGCAUUAAGCUUGUUUCGUAACUAUUCAGCCAUUAUGUUGAUAACAGUUGAACUAAAAUAGUCUGCCAAUAAAAUGCAUAUGAAUGGUCAAAUUCCUCCAGAAAUAGUUGCAGAAAUGCUUUACUACAGAAAGGAGGUUGGCACAACCAGAUGUAAAAGAUAUACCUGGAAAGAAUACAAUAAGACCCUCAUCUUUCAGAACUGUAUCCUUGGCUGCAUGAGUGGGACUUGAAGGUGCUUCCACAUCAUGAUGAAUGUCACCUUCUUCAUCUCUACCUGCCUCUAUUAUAGCCAAUAAAUUCUCAGUCCUAACCAAGUUGCCUGCCGCUCCAACCAAUACCUGGUUUUGUGGACUUCGAGUAGCAUAUUGCUCCAGGAAGGGCUCUGCCUCACUAAGGUAAGUUGAUGUCGACAACUGUUUGUUUCCAUACUUCCUUCGUAUAUAAACAGCCCUGAUAAUGGUAACAGUUCAAUCAAUGCACAUAUGGGGAACGCUAAUUUGAAUAUCAAGAUCAUAAAAUCCAGGUAGAUAUAAGCAACAAAAUUUUGACUAUCAAGGAAAUGCUAAUACCAUUCGUCCAACAUUUUGCUAAGCUCUCGCUGCUUGCCAGCUGAUGUUCCCCAUAUUUUCAUCUGCCUAUCAAAUCAAACAAAAGGACACUGUUUUUAUAGUGAACAUAGAUUCAGAAGAUGCUCCAAAUGUGUUAAUGAUAUGUUAUUUGGAAAAAAAAAAAGAACAAAACUUGUCAGCGAGAUUAACAUAUAAGCAAAUGCUUUCUCCAAAACAUGAAGAAUAUGUAUAAAUAAUAUUGAUCAAACGUGAGAAUUACAGCAUUAACUGACUAAGUAAACCAAAAGAAAUAAAGAACCAACACCUAAGGUUAAUUGAGUUACAGGCUUACAGCAUUUACUAAGUGGGUUGAAGGACCUUCACUCUUCCAGCAUCGGGCAUGGGGCAUGGAAGCAUGAAUAAGAUCAUGGUUUAAAAUGCUGAUCAAAUAAAUACAUAACCAACAGUAUUUAUAGUCCAAACAAGUACUGGAAGUGGACAAAGUAACUCAGUAUUGUUUAGUAUGACACUCAUUUUAUUGUUCUAAUAAUUAUAUUCAGAGAUACCAAGUGAUAUAGGUCAACAUACUGCUUGGAAUUUUGAUAUCAUGUUGGUCUGACGUCUUACUGAAACCGCUAAUGAACCAGUGUUUAAACUAAGAAUUUUAAUUUCGAGUGAUACCACCCGAUACAUAUCGGUCUACUGGGCGAACCGCUCACUACUGGGCAGUACUGUUGAUCUAGCCCCGUAUCGGAUGAUACGGAGCUGUAUCGAGCAGUAAAAGUCGAAAUAUCGAUAAUGAUCGAUUUCGACCAUCGCCGCCCGCAAUCGGGCGGUAUCAGCCUGGCUACGACGAGGGAAGAAGAAGCGUCGAGGGAGAAGGCGCUCGAAUAAGAGGGAGAAUCAAGAGAACCUCGACGCUUCCCGAUCCAAGAGGUAACAGAGAGACGACGGCUCGGCUUCUUCGCUGCGUUCUUUGCCGAAGGCCGAAGACGCCUGCAACCUUUGUCGAAGGCCGGAGAGGUCUACGGCCUUCGACAUCUUCGCCGAACUGUCACGAACUUAGCUCGUUUUGCCUAAGUCGUGCGGUAUCCUUGCAUGUCCGUCCGCAAAGGUCAGCCUCCCCGAAACCUCACAUGGUCCCUUAGGACCUAUAAAAGAGAAAACGAGUUAGAGAAAGCGCCUCACUCGAGAUCCACAAGCAAACAUUUCCGAAAACACCUCAUAUACAAUGCAAAUACAAACAGACUUUACAAGCUCUGAACGGUUGCACAACAAAUGAUCAAAAUGGUCCAUUACAAACCGAAUAUCUCUCACAAGUGUCCACAUGACACAACAUUUAUUUACAAGCCUAAGAAGGCCACCAAACCCAACUAAAAUGGGACUGUUAAGCUUUCGACCGUUCCUCUACAUGCUGUGCAAAGCAUGAACAAACAGAAAGACAUGGACAUACACAAGUAUUACAUCAAACAUCCUGUUUAGAACUUUGUCUGUGACAGAACGCCAUAGAUGAGGAGAAGACCACAUACGCCUCCUCAUCUGACACGACGAGAAAAAAGAGGCAACGUACGAGUAUUUUUAUAUUUAUAUAUAUUAUUAUAUAUAUAUAUUAUUUUAUAUUUUUAUCUAUUGAUUUUUAUUUUUUAUAUUAUAUUUUUAUUUUAUUAUAUAUAUAUAUAUAUAUAUAUAUAUAUAUAUAUAUAUAUAUAUAUAUAUAUAUAUAUAUAUAUACACUGAGUGGUACACCCUGACGUACCAUUCAAUAUGCCUGUACCAUACUAUAUCGAGCAAAUCUCGAAAAACCAAUGUGGUACGAAAUUAAAAACCUUGGUUUAAAUCUUUGGGUGAGAUGCCUUUUUUUCUCUCUCUCUCUCUCUCUCUCUCUCUCUCUCUCUCUUUGCUUUAAGGUCUGUCAAGUGACUGACACAGGGCAGUAGAGCAGCAAUAAAGUGGCCUGCUUCCUCUCUUCCUCUUAUUCCUCUUCUCAUCUCAUCUUAUUCUUUUUCAUCGGUGGCAGCACAGAAUCCUAGGCACAUAUAGUAUGUGUCCAGGAUGUUCAGGAUGCAUACAAAGUCCAGGGAACAAUGACUGAAAAUCAGUCAUUGGGUCAUCUAGCACUUAUAAUGUCAGCACAGGCAAAUACAGGAGCUCAAGAUAAUAGAAUUAACUUUUGGUAUCUUAGUUAUUCUUUCAAUUAUGUUUUACCUAGUACAAACAGAUAACAACACCAUUUAGUUUUCGUUUAAUGCACAGCACUGGAUACUGGAUCGACAUUUGCAUCCACCAAUGUACUUGACCUACUAACUGGAGGUCAAUCCUCCUGAAAAAAAAUGUAGCGGAACUUUAUCCAGAUUACUGAAUAAAUUGCUUGCAAUUUACAGCUCUGAUUAUCAUAAUUAUCAAACACAUCUAGUAUUGUACCUAUCUUGGUUCGUUUAGGACAUUUGAAUUGUAACCAGAAAAUAAAGCCUUCAACAAUUAUGAGAGCUGUGAAUCCAAAAUGGUUUUUGGAACUAUUAAAAAUUUUAGGAUUUGUUAUUUUGUUCAUGGUUUGUUCACCUUAGCAGACCAUGCAUGUAAAUUUCUUCAACAUAUACAAAUCUGUAAAUUUCUUCCACUACUUUCUGUAUUUAAAUGAUUUUCAGAUGACCUGUUACUAAAGAAAAAAAAAAGAUAACGUUUCAAGUAACAAUUUGCUAAACUCUUUCCUGGCUUCAAUAUCUUACAAAUCUAUGAAGUCUUGUAACUACCAAAUUGAUAGUCCAAACAAUGCUGACUUAUCCACUGAUGUCAUUUGCUUAUAUAUUCCUACAAAAGUCCAACAUAUAGUUACCGUAGUGUGUCGAAGCUUCAGUAGCUUCAUCAAAAAUAGUCAGAGACCAUUGUUUUUUCAUUUACUUGUAUGGGCACCAUUACUGAAAAUAAAUGAUACUAAGUUUAUGUUGGACGUCCAUCUUGGGGGUUUUACCAACGAAAUUAAUCUUAGCUAGAUGAAGAUGCAGACAACUAAUAUUUAAAAAGUAUUGGUUUUUUUAUUGGAUAAAAUGCAGAAAAAUAAGAUAGACAAAAUGACCAAACAAAAAAAAGAAGAAUGAUACUGGAAUGCAUGAUAAUGUCACAACUAGAAUGUGAUCUUUGUAAUGACAUUGUCUCCUAAAUAUUCAAAGAUAUUUUAAAAGAACCUUAGUAAUUACAAAAACAUAAUUUACAUAUUUCCACGAUUUUGUUUAGAAUAAAGAAGUGGAUGCUUGCCUCAAAUAGUAAGUUUUAUAGGCCGACGGACCAUCCUUGAAAAGUAUAGAUAAACCAUUUCGGAUCAAGAACGUCCUUAACUGCACAUAAUAACAAACAAAAAUAGUACCCAAAAGAAAACAAGCUUGCUCAGAGAAACUUUUUCCAGAAGUUAACAGAUAUUGGUUGGAAUUGCAAAGACUUUGUUAAUAAUAAAAAUAUAUCCAGAAUUCCAGAUUCCAGAUUACAUGAUAGCCAAAGAAACAGAAAUACUAAAUUCCUAUUGUAACUACUGUAUGUUGUAGAAAGGUCUCUGCUAACAGUAACAACUGUGUCAUAAUGCUCAUGUGCUUCAUAUCACAAAAGAAAGAAAUCAUACCUUGUAUGUCAGAAAUUUUAAUUUGAUCAUCAGAUUUGCAUCCUCAUCUGCAAGACCAUCUGCCACUAAUGAACUGGCCUCGAGGUUGCCAUUAAUAUUCUUCAGUAAAGAAUUACUGUCUUUUGCAAAAUCAGUAGCUCUUUCUUUGUCAACUUUGAACAAGUUAACAUCGACAAAGAAACCUAUCAUCAAGAGAAGAAAUACAGCAGCUCUUAUAAGAAGAACCAUGACAGGAAACUAGGUCUACAGUGUUAGAUUUCAAUAGAUAAUGAAGAAAUUGAACAUAGAAAAAGAGGAAAAAGAAACUUAUGGAAAGAGGUCUCAUACCCCUGUAUAAUGGCCACAAUCCUCGGUUUCUCCUGGAAGAUUAAAGAAGCAUUUAUAGUUCAAAAUACAUGGAUGUUUACAACUAAGUUGUACACAUUUGAAGAGAAAAGGUUAAAUAAUCUUGGGAGAUAAGCAAUGUGUACCUCAUCUCUUGCUGAUAUCUUCGGAAAACAGAAUCACUGUGGAUAUGGAUAACCAUCUUAUAGUGGAUAUUGUCACUUGAUAAGGAGUUGACUUUGUGGAAGUUGUAGUAGCACUUAAAAGCAGCAGGAAAAUGCCUUUGUCUAAUUAAGCGUAUCAUCUCCUGUUGCAAAUUUAAUAUAGAAUCAUGUAUAAGACAACAAGCUGCUAGGGCCUUUAAAAAAAUAAAAUUAUUAAAACAACUGACCAUCCACCACAACAUGCCUAUUAUAAGCAGAACUGCAUAAAUUGAACUGUUUCUAAAGCCAACUGUAGGAACUUCACAAUCUAUCAUGGCCAAUGAAAUGCCAAAAAUAAAGAAAAAAGAAACAAGGCCCAACCCAGACCCCACUCUCAAUGCCUGAGGCAAGACAAAAGUCCUCUUUUGGUUCAAUUUAUUUUCUUCAAAUUGAUCCUGCAUGAUUAUUACUUAGCAUGCUUGUAUAAGUAAAAAUAGGCAGAAUCUAAUUCAAUCAGAGCUGAUGCAACUAGAGACGAACAAUGAACAAGCCUAUCAGUAUUCACUAAGUUGCUUUCAACGUCAACAAGAUCACUAGAAUCAUGCAUGCAAAUCCAAUCUAGAAAAUUUAGUAAAGGGAGAACAUACAAAUUACUUUCAAAGGAUUUUGACCCAUCAAUGAAACAAUUGUGGCCUUCUCAAGUCAUUCUUAAUUGAGUGAGAAAGUGGUGUUAUCAAGCUCCCUCAGAGAGUCGUAGGAGUAAUAGGACUUUAUUAUUUUACAGUUACUUCUGAAAGUACUUUCGUUAUUAUUAUUGUGAUAUUUCAGGGAAUCUAGAGUGCAAUUCUAAGUCUAUUUGUGUCUGGGAGCCUUAAUAUAGUUAGAACAAGUUGUUUGAUUCUGAGGAUGUAUUAAUAGUAGUAAUCUCUUUAAAUGAUUGGAGGAAUGAUAAGAUAACCAAAAAAAGGAAAGAGUUUAAUCUCAAGCCCUCUGGAUAAUAUAUAAAUGGUUCUGAGACAGGUUUUUCAUUGACGCACUUAAAUAUUCAUGUAAGUUACAUAUCUCUUGUUUUUUGUCACUCAGAGGCAGGCCGAUCUUGAAAUGGAGAAAGCCAUGAUAGAUAGAUCAUAUACUAUCAACUGGUAUUAAAGUAAGGCAAUCUACCAUGUCUUCUGACAUCACCAACUACCGUGACAAAUUGCAUCUUAAUUGUGCAAAAUCACUGGUGGAGAUUCACCACUAUUUCAUACCAGAGACAAAUCUUAAUGCUGCAAGGAGUGCAAGUCAUGUGCGGUAAGAACAAAAUGUAAGAAUGUGAGGAUUCCAAGAUACAUUCUCAAGGGUCAACAAUUGUAUGGUAUCUUCAACACAUUCUACCAUCACCUCUGGACCUUGAAAGAAAUUUUAGAAAUCUCGACAACCCUCCACAUUGGCAUGGAGUAGUCAACAGCUUGCUCUGGAAUCACACUAUGAAGCAAGGUUCUAAAUUUCAAAUGAUACCGCUCGUACCGGGCGAUACGUACUGGUACGUGGACCACUCGCUACCAGGCGAAACACUUGAUAUAGCCCUAUAUCGGACAAUACAGGAAUGUUUCGGGCAGUAAAGGUCGAUUUCGACCGUGACCGCCCAGCCACUAUCGGGGAGUAUCAACCUAGCUGUGGCGAGGGAAGAAGAAGCGUCAAGGGAGAAGGAAGAAGAAAGAGAGAGCGUUCAAAGAAGAAGGAGAAGAAGAGGGAGAAUCGAGAGAACCUCAACGCGUCCCAAUCCGACGUUGAAUUCCCUCGACGACCCGAUCCAGGAGGUAACGACCAGGCGACGGCUAGAGCAGCAAAAGAGGUGGUCUCCUUCAUCACUUGGUCUGCGAUUUCGCAGCUUCUUCUUCGCCAAAGGCUGGAGACGUCUGCGACCUUCGACGUCUUCGCCGCCUUCUUCACCAAACACCGCAGAUGAGAUGAAGGAGAUCACGUUCUUCUCCUCAUCUGAGGCGACGAGAAGAGGAGGAGGUGACGUCAUCCAGGCAACGUACUGUCACGACCUUAGCUGGAAUUGCCUAAGGCGUGCGGCACCCUUGCGGCCAAAGACGCGAACUUAGCUUGCGUUGCCUAAGUCGCGAGUCACUCUUGCGGCAAAGACGCGAACUUAGCUUGCGUUGCCUAAGUCGCGCUUCGCCCUUGCGAUCUUGCUCCGCAAGGAUCAGCCCACUUUGUAACCUCUCGCAGGUCCUGAAGGACCUGUAAAAGAGAAAGAGAGUUAGAUCGAAAGAACGAGCAACGGACAAGUCCCGAAGUCUCGCGAAAAGGAAAGCUUUACAAGCAAUUCGUCGAACACCUUAGUGUGCACAAGAGAAAAGAGGGANAGAGNNNNNNNNNNNNNNNNNNNNAAAGCCAAGUUCCCGUAAAGGUCACGUGCGAACUUGCGAAAGAGUGUUCAACACCCGGUAUAUAACCGAAGCCCCAUCCAGCCAUGUGCCACCUGGGGGGUUCCUGGGUGCUGAGAUGGCUGACAUUUUGGUGAGCGGAGGCAGCACUCCGCUCACCUCCCGCGGCACGCGAAAACGGAGCCGUUUUGGGCUGUUUUGGGGCUGUUUUGCUCGGUUCGAUGAGCGAUCGCUUUGCAACAUUGCAGCUUGUUCGAACUUACAUAUUUACAAGCAAAAUGACCCAAAACCAUGGGAAAACAUGCUGUCAAGCAGCUGUACAUGCGGGUGUGAGCGACGAACGGUUCGUUGAACGGAGUUGUUGCGGGUGCGCGACGACCGUUCGUGACAGUACGCCUCCUUUUUAUUUUUUUUAUAUUAUUUUUAUUUUUUUAUAUAAAUAUAUAUAUAUACAUGUACCACUCGACACCGUACCGAGCAAAGCUCGAUACACCGGUACGGAACGAAAUUUCAAUCUUUACUAUGAAGCCUCGGACCAGCAGCAAUUUACCAUUUUUAGGCCAUCCUGCUGAUAUCAAAAGGCAUUUAAGUGAAGCCUAAGUGCCUCGAUGGGCCCUGGUGGAGGUACCUUCAACUAGGUGCUGUCUACACAAGUGGCUCCCUGGUUCGACAGCAUAGGCCAAUUAGUAAAAAAAAAAUCCACAGCGAAUACCUGCAUGUUACCAUGGGAUCUUUACAGCAAACUUUCCAUCAGCUGCAUGUCCUCUGUGUCUAGUAAAUAUCCUCCUCUGUUCUCUCCCUUCUGUUUUCUCUUCCCUCUUUCCCCUCACUUCUUUCUCCCCUUUCUAUGCAGGUUCCCUGUCACCCUCUCUUUAAUCUUCCCUCUAGGCUCCACCUCUCCUCCGUGCUGAUGCAACUUCUCCCACUGCUGCUGUCCACUCCUCUCUUUACAAGCACUUUUGACAGCAGUUAGCAUCAUCCAAGAGGCCAAUCAACUAUCAAACACGUAUUUAUCCGAACAUGCAAGUAGUGAGGCACCCAUGCUACCAGUUCCAAUGCAAUUAAAGCUCGAUUUGAACAAGAGAUCCACUAUCUCAUCCUGUGCAACAACUUCUGAAGAUUCAUUUCACACCUUGUCCACAUCCUGAAGAUCGACAUGACAAUUUAUUCACUAAAAUGGAAACCAUAUUAUCCCUCAACCACUCGAUAAGAAAAAGGCAAAGACAAUGACGAAGGAUAUAAUCUAAUGGCAUGGUCCUGAACUAUCGUUUUCACAUACGAGGUAGAUACAAGGGCUGGGAAAGUAAUAUGAAGCAAUUAUCAGCUCAUUCUAAGUUAAGUUAGGGAAAAGGAGGUAUAUAACUUUCUAGCCAUGUUUUAUAAUUGGUUUGAAAUUUUCAAUUUUCCAUGUAAUUUGGGAAAGAAAUUGUCAACAUUUUUUCAGUAAUAUUCAAGGAAAUAUCUAGAAUCUGAUUUAAAGUCUAAUUGGCAUCAUACGGUCCUAACACUCUGACCAUAUUUCAAUAAAUCCGGCAAACCGAUACAUACCGCUUGGUACAUACGGGUACGUGUACCAGAACAAAGACCAUGGACAGUCCACUUGCCAAACAUGGUUUACUCUAGACCAGGCAGUAUACUCAGUUCCUUUUUUUUAGUUUCUACCCAUUAAAAACCCUAAAAUAACCCCACACCGAAUCAGUACUCCGCCACCAUUUCAUCGUCUUCUUUUUCGUCGUCAAUACCUCUUCCCCCUCUAAUACAUCAGAACGGACUACUAUCAACCCGACCAUUGACAAGGACGAGUCAGUAGACGAAAUUGAAAACCUUGAUGCUAAUAGUCUAGACUAUACAAGUUGUCUAGCAACUAGGAGUAAUAUACGGAGAGCUCUAGAGGUCUCUUUUAAUGGGUUUUUGGGGGCUGACAAGAUUAAAUAAAAAAAAUCUCUAGACAGCCUCUAGUAGAGUAAAACUUGUAGUGGCGAUAAAACACUAAGUUACGAUUAUGACUCUAGUUAUCUUCUUUUUGUAAUACAAAUUUUAGGUUAAUUUCCUCCUUUUUUUUACCUUCUUGGGGAUUUGAGAAGACCUUUUGUGCUUAAAUUGGAGAAAGCCUUGACAAGUGAAACUGAUGCUCUCUUGUAUCUUGGAUGAUAAUAUUUAAUAAUAUGGUAACAAGUUGACUCUACAAGCAGGUUGACUGUUCUUAAAGAUUCUAAUCUUUUAAUGGAUAAAAAUUUGAAGUAUACAAUCAUGCUUUCCUAUUACUUUCAUGGUUCCUUCCGCCCCCUAUUACUUGUGCAACUUAUGCUAUCUGAAGUUAAAAAUGCUUGUCAGAUGGUUGUCAUAAGUCCUCUUUGUAAAAUAAAAAAUUUUGCAACGAGCUGGCACUUGGUAAGUUAAAUAUCAAAACUGUGUGCAUCAACAUAAAGCUACACUGAUCAUUUAUAAUCCAAUCCAAGUUUCAAAAUGAUUCACAACAGGUAUUUGACUCAAAACCAUCUAAAUUAAUACUUCAUUCUUUCUUAGUCAAGGAACCUACAAAGAAACCUAAAACAAAGAAACUAAGAUAGACAGACUGUAUCGAGAAAUAAUGAUUAAAAUAUCAGUUGGAAAGGUAUGGUCAACCAGGUUUUUGUUUUUCCCAGUCCAGCCAAUGGGUAAUAAGCAGACCAUACGUCACCAAUCAGUUUCUGGAUUACCAUAAGUAGCAGUGACUUUUGGUUUAGGCAAACAGAACCAUGUAGAGGGCUGGCAUUCUCACUGCGGUCACGUUUCGCACCAACUUCGCCCCAUAUGGAGGUAUAGUCCAGCACGUUCUAAAACCCAUGCCAGGUCCAAGAAAUCAUUUUUUAGGGGAUAAAAGCUUCAAUAACAAUGAGUCUCUUCAAUCCUCUAUUAUUUUUACAAAGGAAAGGAAAAGAAGAGAAGAGACGAAGAGGUGAAGAUAAUUCUAGUGAAACCAAUUGGAAAGAUACGAAAACAAAUUCUCUAAAGAACUACAAUCUUGACCAAGCACAUGAAAGCCUACAGAUUCUUCCAUGGUAUAAGAACUUUAAGAGAUUAAAAAAAUCAGAUCUUAAAUUCUGACCUAGAGAUGGACCAUCAUGCACUAUCUACGUCAAUUCUAUGCUUCUAGACAAGAAUUAGAUUGUGUUCUCCAUACAGACAGAAACAUACAUAAUAUACAAAUUAUGCAAAGUUUCAUUGUUAUGAAGCAAUGAUAAGCUAGGAUACCAAAAUUGUUUUGAAUGUGUCAUGCUCUCAUGGCUAAACUAAAUUGAACACUCCACAUAGAAUUAUACUUAAGAAAGUCGGUGCACCAUACCUGCAACUUUGUUGUUGCAUAGUCAGUAGGAUGAGCUUGUAAAAAUUUUGAAAGGACUGAUCGAUCAGCUUGACGAGAAUGGACACCAGACUCCUCAAUCCCAAACCAAUCAGCAUAGUCAGGGCACAUAGAGGUGCCAGCAUUUUGAAGGAGUGCUUUAACUUGCUGCACAGUGUACACACACAAACAAAAAUAAGAAUGCCUUCGACAAUAAAAAGGGAGGGAGUAGUGUCAUCCAUCAAGAUGAAAGAACUUUAAAGACAAAAGAAGAAGGCUGAGGGUCCAAACAUCAUCAAGGUGAAUUACCUGCUUCUCAUCUGACCUAUUUGCAGCACACACUUCUCGCAAAGUUGGUCCUAGAUCAAGUCCAACUGCCACCCAAAACAAACAGACAAAUACAAUCAACAAGACAGACAUGAUAUCCAAAAUAAAGUAAAAAAAAGCAAUGAAUAAGGUAUCGUCCAAGGAUUGCAAAACUGUCCUGGUACCACAGUACAUACCAGUGUAUCCUUUAUCAGUAUCAUGGCAUGGACUGGACCUGUACCAGUCUGGACAUGGACUGCUCCAGGUCUAGGACCUACUAUUGCAGUUCUUGGUAUUAUCUUCUUUGAUAUAAACAUGGAUAUUCUUUGCGACCAAUGCACAAUCAAAUCAUCAGCAGAUUCAACCAUUAAUUGUGUUUUAAAGAACACCAUUCUAUUGUCAGUUCAUCAUGUAAAUUCGACCGAGAAUUGCUUUCUUAGAAAUAUCUAUUAGACAUCCAUGAGAUGAGCAACAAUCCAGUCAGGAUACAGUAACUUAUUAAUGUCAAAAUUUCUCACUCACACACUAAUGAGAUUCAAUCAUCUCAGCCAGCAAACAUGCACUUUUAUCAUUGCAUAAAUGUGAAACAGUCUCCUCAAGUCAACUUGUAGAGUAAUAUUCAAAAGAUAUAAGGUAUGGGUUGACGAUCAAGUAGAAUGCACGUAUCAUAUCCUGGUGUCCCCGACUUGCAUGGACAACGUAGACCCAGAAUUAUAUCUGUGGCUCUGCCAUUACUCGCUAGAAGUUGAUAGUUGAUAGAGACCAGAGGAACAUACUCUGGAGUCUGGAUUACCAAUAACCACACACAUCCUCAAGUUUUAACAUCCCUAGAACUUUGGAUAAUUCUGAGAGAAGAUUGCUUUCGAAGAUGAAAGAUUUAAGAGCUGGAAGUAGAAAAUAGCAUCAGUAUUUAUUAUCGGAAAGAACUAAAUUAUGAAGAGAAAAAGGGGGCAAUACCAACAGUGAAGGUGGAAGUGCAUAAUUUCUACUGUAGCUUUAUCAUGAUACAAACUUUAUAUUUUCUUUCUGGUGUUAUAUGUAACUAUACCACCCAGUACCACCAGAAAAAACAAUAAUAAAUUGCAUACAGGCCAAACUGACAAAGAUGGUUCAAUAUCUAUCCUUGGUUAGUACAUACCCAGUAAAUAUUAGUCAGUUAAACAGAUCUGUAUCAACAGAUUAGAAUACUUAAUAUUUGUCUCAAGGAUUUUAAGCAUUAGUCCAGUAUCAAUUUAGGUAAUCUAUCAGGCUCAGUAUACCGGCCAGUAAUAACAAUACAUACCACUAUCACCAUAUAAAACAAUAAAAAAAAUGAAAUGAUAUGCAAUGGUAUCAAGCCUUCUUGUCAAGCGAUAAAUUCAAUUCUUGAACUAGUUGACAGAAUUAUAUCAAACAGGUUCAGUCUAAUCAGACCUAAAAUAUAUAGGUGGUAACAGGACAACUCAGCCAUGACCCUUGUGUAUGAGAUCUGGAUACUGCAGGACCAAUGAACAUCUACGAGAAACCAUAUAGGAUGUGGAGAAAAUGAUACAUUUCAGUUUUUUCUUCUUCCUUCCUCUUCUCUCCUUUGUUUUCCUUGUCACUUUUUUCUGACUCAUUAUCUAUCAGAACACAAGAAGGUCAGCCCAAUGAUGCAUCAUGUCAUGCAAAUGGCACAUCCCAUGCCAGCCACCAGCCAACAUGAGUGUGCCACCAAAAAAAUUGCUUGCAUAUCAGCUAAAAAGAAAAAGGAUAAGAAAGGGGAUGUAGAUGUGGUGUUGAGGUUCUGUGUAUUGAUUCAAAAUGCGGAUGCUUUACUUUGAUAUCUUUUAACUUUUCGGAUUGGUUUCACGUCUUCUGUUCACUGACUGAUUUCUUCAUUCCUAUUUCUGUCACUUUUAAACUAACCCCUUUAAAUAUAUAUGACGCUAAGCUUAUCUUUCAUCUUGGCAUCAAACACGAACAAACUCCAUAACUAAAUCCCACUAACAGAUUGCACAUUGACCAAAAUGCUGGGGAAAGACGUAGUUUUGGAAGUUGGAACCCAGCUCACCUCCAUCUAAUGCUGGCGGAGGGAAGUCUUUCAGAACUUUCUCCAUAUGUUUUGAGCUAUCACAGCUGACAACACGGGCAACCAACCCUUCCAGGAUCUCGCCUUGCACCUUUAUGUGAUCUUUUGACCCUGCAAAAGGAAAAAUAAAAACAUGUCCAGCUGUAAAAAAUAUCAUGGAGCACAUGACCAAAAUUUUAUGGAAUACAAAGAAACAAAGAGUACUUAUGAGUUAAGACUAGUUAAGAACUUAACCAACACCAGAAAUGAAAGCUUUUCAAGUUUCAGCUUGGCAUCACUAGUAAUUAGAACAUUAAACAUGAGGUAAAGUAAAUCUUGCAGCAAUUAGUUAUUAAUACCAGGCACAGAUAUGUCUGCCACCUCAUUGAGAGCCUUACACACAGUUGUCGCAGUUCCUUCUUCACACAAGGCAUCAUAUGCAGCAAAAAAAGAUGUGACAGAUUUCCUAAACAAGAAAAAAGACGAGAAUAAAAGAGAGAUUGUUCAAAGAUUUAAAAGAAGUUACACAACUUUGAACACUAGGAAAUAGAGAUGUGAAGAAAGAACAGAAUAGAGCAGUAAUGGCCAAAAAGGGUGUUAAAACCGACAACCCACACCACUAAAAGGCUAAACAAGAAAAAGACAAAGAGAACAUUUGGAAUUGUACAACCCACACAAACUCUCCAUUUUAGCAUAUGACUUGGUCUAGAAAAUACCGGAAUAAGUUGGCAAAGAAGCAAAUAAUCACUGUAAGGAAAACAAGGUGUUUCCCUUGCACAAUUUGAUAAACCUCAGGAUCUAUGUUGUUAACAAAAUAUUAAAAUUUGACAUCCAAGAUCCCUUGGACAAUUUGUCAUAUUAAUCAUCAAAGACCACUUUGGGUUAAAAAUGGCUGCACAACCAACACAGUUUCAGCAGCCAAAGGGAAGCCAAUGCCAGAUACAAUACCGGUUUUGCUAAUCAUAAGACCAAUAUGAUACUAGUAUAAUGAGUGGCAUACCAAUCUAUAACAUCCGAUAUCAUUAAAUAAAAAAAAAACAAAUUGUGUUGUACCAAUAUUGAGCAAUAUUUUCUGAAACCGAUACUUGAUUGGAUCAGUAAAUACUAGUUUGCACCAGCAGAAGCAGUUAAUAUUUAAAUCCUUGGGCUACAUUAUGUCAAUACUUCAACAUGUUUUUUCGCUUUUUGUUUAGAUUUGAAUUUAUCUAGAUCUACACUGAUUGAAUAAAUAUAGAUAUCUAUUUUAAAAGAAAAUUUAAUCAAGUAGCUGGCAUUUAAAGUACAAUGCCACCCUUAUUCAUGUCAGAUGCACGGUCUCAUUUUACCAGCUCCCAAAAGCAAACUCAUCAGUGAAGGAAUAUCUAUUUGCACUUAGUCCAUUUGUUAUAAACAAAUCAGAAAAUUUAUUUUUAACACUAUCAGGUAGUAUAAUAAAUGACAAAACUCCACCUUGUUGAGAACAACCAAACAUGAUUUGUGGGGAGACGCCAUUUCCGGCAGAAUGCAAUUAACUCAGGAGUAGAGUAGAAUUUUGGCUUGCCAUGGCCCAAAUCUGUUACAGCUGUGAUCACAACUGUCAAAAAUGUGAACAAUACAUCAGAACGUCAUAACAAAAGCUAGAACUUCUUGGAAAAAUUAUAAUAUUAAGGAUAAAAAGAAUGAUAUCAUGAGGUACAACAACAAAAAAAAGAAGUUAAAAGAAAUGGAAACAAAAAGAUACAAAUACAAGGAAAAAGCCUUUGGGGGUUCCAGGCAAAUUUCCGGUAACGAAGCAACUAUAUUAAAAUAAUUAAAACAUCAGAAAGAAUGACAAUACAACUGAUGCUGAACAAAUCUCAACAACUUGAAAUCAGUAUCACUAUCUAACUAACCAAGGAAAAAGUAUUAAAAAAAAAGAUGCAAACAUGAAACAAGUCAAAGAAAAAAGUAACAGAGAGGAGCUCCUAAGCAAGCAAGAAAAAUGUAAUGAGAGAAUAAAGAGACAAAAAAAAUAUCAGACUUCGGAGUAUGUAGUAUGAGCAAGAAAACACAUACUGCAACCAUAGCAUAUGUCAUAAGGUGAUAGACAGGAAUACUUGAGUGUAUGACCAUUAAUUUCCAUGGACAGUCAGAGUACCAGGGCUCAAAAACAUGAACAAAAUUUUCUCACCAGCCUAAUCUAAACAACCAACUAAUAAGAAAUUUAAGAUAAUAAGUACUAUUCUAAGCAUUUUCGAUUGAUAAAACCAGAUACUGUAAAUUUCCACCUCCAAUAUAAAAUAAAUAAUAAAGAAAGAAAAGAAAAGUGAACCAUACAAAUUCUGACCAAGGAAAGAAUCUUGACUUUGACAAAUAAUUUGUAAAAAAUCUCAAAUAAUUUAAAUGAAUCACUGCCUUGGUAAACCAAUGGAAAAAUUUUGCAGCACAAUUCACAAGUCCAGACCUCAGACAAAACUAAACUAAAAGCACAGUAUGUGGUCAGACUUACUUUAGACUAGGCCUGAAUCUCUUGAAGCUGAACCCAAACCAUGACCUUUCGGUCUGGUUUAGCUUCUUUGGUAAAAUUUAUCCUUGUUGAUCUCUAAAAAUCCUCAAAUUGUUCACUGAUUUCAUUUCUAGUUUUCCAUAAGUUGAAGCAAAUCGGACGUAGUUCAAUAUGUCAGCAGACCAUAGGCUCUGUAAUUAAUCAGGGAACAAACAACAUAUUUUCCAAAGAUUUAAGUUCCUUCAACAUGAGGUUCUGGAUAGCUGGUGAAAAGAUACAUGCCAAAUUGCCAAAUGUUGUUCUGAAACUCAACACAACAGCAAAAAAAUGUAAAAUCUCAAACAAAAUUGCUACAUUAGAAUGCAAUGAGCUUAUCUAACUUCAUUCUCUCAUUCUUGAGCUGAAAACAAACAUAGAACUAUAUUAUUGCAAGACUGAAUCAGUCAAUUGACUCAAAGUCCAAACUAUAAACCUACAUCAACCUUUUCAGGUUGCCAAUAACCUCUCCUAUUGCCUCUGCUGCCUCGAGACUCACCAAAGACCAGCAGCCAUCUUUAAAGAUUGUUUACUGUUCAAAUCAAUAUAACAACAAAAGAACUAUGAUAGUUUUACUUCUGUCCUUAUCUAGAUUGUUUACUGUUCAAAUCAAUAUUACAACACGAACUAUGAUAGUUUUACUUCUGUCCUUAUCUGGUUCAUCCUAAGUCUAUUGAACUCAAUUUAUGGCCGAUGGAGGAUUAGUUAAAUUUGACUCAGUAUUGUAUUUGAAGUAUCGUUUCUUGUCACAAUAAAAAAAGGGUGAUGGCAAUACUUUGUAGUACUAAUGCAACCAAAUGUUAGAAAACAAGAAACUUCUCAAAAAACUUUCGCAAGGACUACAUGGUCUUCCUCUACAAAGUCAAUGAAGCAAGACACAUGCUUCUACAGCCAAUGUUUUCUGUACUGCCCAAAAUGGUACGGUCCGGGCGUGGGCCAAUACACGGACCACCCCAUUUCGGGCGAUCUAGUUAAAAUAAUGCAAAAAAUUGAUGGGGCUCUGCCCACAUCAGCAUUAAAAAAAGAAAAAAAUAUAUUAGGGCAUGCAAAUGCAAACCCUCUUCUCGCGUAAGAUGCCGCCACUUCGCCAUUGCUGCUUUGACGCUUCCUCACCGUUACCGUUUCAACGCUGUCAUUGCCUCGCCGCUGUCAUUGCACUUUUCCUCCACUUUCUUCUUCUUCCUCCACUUUUUCCUCUUCUUCCUUCUUCCUCCUCCAUUCCUCCACCGCCCCUUCCUCUUCUCCCUCUUUUUCUUCCUUGUCAAACCACCAGUACGUACUAACAUACUAUGUGUCAGUACAUCAGUACAUACCGGUCUGAUAAAGUAUCAAAACAGGUCUGAUACUCGAAAAGGCAAUCCUAGAUUACAAUUACUACUAUAUAUUUUACUUUCAUUUUCCUAACCAAAUUUGGGGUAGGUCAAACUAAUCAUUAGUUAGACUUAGACUUACAUAAAAAUUCUGGUAAAAAAGAGUAAGAGGAUAUAGGAAAAAAGACAAUAGACCAUAGUUAGGAAGGAACCAAUUGUCAAGUAAAUGGAUUAUGCACAAUUUUUUUGUUAAGUAUAGCUAUACUCAUGUCAUUAUGAAACUAUUGACCAUGAAAACACAUAAUACAAUCAAAGAAACUCUGAUGCUCUAAUUAGCUAAGGCAAAGGAAAUUUUUGUACCAUAAUCAUCGAGAGGUCGCUGCCCAUGGUCUCCUAAAACAGCAGUUACCAAUUCCAUUGAUAUACAGAUUCGAUUUUCCUUGAGAAAAAAAAAAUGAAUUGGUAAAUGACUGUUCCAAAAUAUAUGCCAAUUCACUUGCAAAAUACAAUAAUGCAUUUUUGAUGUUUACGUCAACACAACUCAAAAGACCUAACUAGAAAUGCUGAAAAUAAAAAAAAUAAAACAAUAUGUGUGGAGGUAAAUACAAGAAAAGGAUAAAAUUCUUUUUUAGGGUAGGUAUACAAUAGAUUGAUAAGAUAAAUAGAACUAUAUUAUGCUCUUUAUGAUAAGGAUCAUCAAACAAGCAAAACACCUCUCCUAAAAUGAUUAAUGGUUGACACCAAAAGAAGUUGGAAAAAGCGCAUAAGUUAUAUAAAACUUAACAUCCAGUACCAAAACAAAUUUAUAAUUUCUUAUAAUCGACUAGGCAUUCAGUCACUCUGAAUUAGGUCUGGCCAAUGAAAAUAUGACAAUCAAAUAAGCUCCUAAAUGAGAAAAUAGGGAUGUCAAAAUUUUAUUGUCAAGCAUUUGCAAUUUUUAUCAUACCCUUUUCCCUAUAUACUGAAUUCUAUGCCUCAAUAAUAGUGAUUUUCAAUGUGAAAUAGAAGUCAAAGCUUGCAUUUAAAUCAAGUCAUUUACUCCUACACUAACUUAUAUGAUGCCUUUAAACAGCAAAGCCAACAUAUGUUUCUUUGAAAUGAGUUGCAACGAGCAUAUGAAUGGGACCCACAAGCUAUCAUUGUCUUUUUAGGUUGUAAUAUAAUGCUCUUCGUUGGAUUAUCCAUGGAUUAAAUCAUAAUAGGGGCUUUGAGACAAACUUCUUAGAUCUAGAUUUGGAUCAAUUUAUAAUUUGAUGACCUUAGCAACACAAAUAAAUUCAUAAUUAAAUCAAAUACGACGAUCUCAAUUUUAGAUGUCAUUUGUUAUGAUAAAUGAAGUUAUUUAUAUACUGGUUAAGCCAUUUCUACUGCUCUGAUUUAUUUGUAUAUGUUAUAUAUGUUAAAGUUAUGUCACAUCUAACAAUGAAUUUUGACCUUCAAUCACAAUGAAGAAAAUUCUCUGCCUAGUUUGGAGCAUGCCAUCGCUCCACCACACUAGGCAAUCAAUGGACUAGACCAGCUAGAUCCAAUCUUAUUAGAAUAUGAUACUAAUCGAGAUCGUAAUCGAAACAAUAACCAAUGUCAUAUUAGAUCUUGAAAUCUUCUUCAUCAGCAUAAUCCCAUGUACAAAAACACAUAAUAGAUCAUGAAACAACCAUGUAAACACACCAAAGUUUUAAACACCUAUCUAAUAUCAGUCUCAACAUCUUGGCAGUAACCCAAACAGGAAGUCUACUAACAUCUGCUUCUCAGCAUCACCAAACUAUUAAUAAGAAAAGAAAAUAACUGAAUACCAUUCAGUACCAAAUGAUAUGAUGGUGCUUGGUUGAAUCAGUCGGCAUGUAACAAUGCAACUGAUAUUCUAAAUCAUGAUUCAUGCACGGUAUAUAAUACAUUUGUCUUCUGAAUUUUGUUAUAUAAAAAACAGUGUUUAAUUUACUCUGAUUGAUUCGGAAGUGUCUCUAUCCUCAAGUGAAAUUCUUCAAAGUGAAAAGAAGGCAUACUCUAAGAAGCACGGAUAUGGGUACAGGACACGGACACCAUGAUACGCCACCAAUAUGUUACAAAUUGGUUUAUUGAGAGGGAAGUAUUUUUAUGGAAUGACAAUGGAUUUGAAGUAUAAAUACUUUUAUUUCUUAUAUUUAUAAGAAAAUGAAUAAUAUUUUCUAUUCGUUAAGAAUUAUGUUUUAAAUUUUUCAUACACAUGCAUCUACAUGUUCCUUACACCUGGUUUCCGAUAGACCAACACUAAUUUGUCGUUUAUCAUAGCCAACAAAUUUUCAUCCUAGAAUUUUACUGUAAGGCAGUUAUACAUAUUUCAGUUACAAACAGAUACAAGAAAGUUAAAAGCUCAACAAAAUUUCGGAAAUAAUAACAAAUGCAUCAAGAAAAUUGUAUAUUCCUGAUCAAGGUUAUAUAUCAUACAUACUCCAAGAUUCUGAUAUCUAGUUUGAAUUUAUGAAUGCCCAAGAUCUAUUCUAGACAAUCCUAUAUGCCCCUAAGAUUAGUUUCCAUCAAACUAGCAUUUGAGAAUAACCAUCAGCAUAUUAAAAAGACCAUUUUUGCCCUCUUUCUGAAAUGAACUCUAACAAAGUUUAAAUAAUAUAAAUGCAUAAUUAUUGGUGUCACAUAUUGUUCAUGUCAUCCUUGCACAGAAGCCACCCUAAAGUUUACUUAAUAUUCCCUUUUAUUGAAUAUAUUCGAACAGACAUCAUUAACGUUGAUGUGACAAAGUGCAGUAAUGCAUUGGCACUAACGUGGCAUCGUGACAUUCACAUGGCAAUGACCUGAAAAAAAAUUUGCAUCCAUAUGUCAUGUGAAUGUUGUGCCACCAUUAUGAGAAUGUCAUGUCACCACCUCAGAUAUCACAGAAACAUGAUGUGGUGAGAACAGCGAAAACUAUCAUAUGAGGGCCCUAAUGUAUGCAAACAUUUUAUUAUAUAAUUUGAAAAAAUCAUAUUGUUGGCCAUGUUUAUUAUUUAAGCUUAUAUGCAGCUUCUGAUAACAAGUUACAGGUUAUCAAAACCUUGUCGUAGAAAUAAAAAUUUGGAACUCUUGAGGGUACGGAAGAACAGCAAAGGUUUGCUAGUACUAGUCCGAGCAUGAACUAGUACAAGGAGGGCCCCUUGUUUCUGACGGUCAGGUCAUACUUAUUAAAAGAACACUAUCUAACACUAGUUUAAGGCUCAAAUUUGCUAGCCCUCUUCGCCCACGAGCUGCCUGCAGCUACUUGUCACUGCCUGCCACCUAUCGUGCAUCAUCGAUUCCGGGUGUGCUUCUUGUCCUCUUCUCCUCCUCUUCCUCCUUCCUCCUCUAACUCCACCUGCCUCCCCUUCUUCCUCCUCUUCCUCCACUGCCUCCUCUUCUUCCUUCCUCUUCCUUCCUCCACCACUUCUCUUUUUUUAUCCUCUCCUAUUUCCUCUUUGAGUAUAUGGUAUGCGCCAAUAUACUGUCUGUUGGUACAACAAUACUGUCAUACUGAUUGGUACAGAGUACAGCCAGUGACUGAUACAGGUGGUCAAUACAAGACAGUCCUUGGUCCAAAAUACUGACGACUUACUAUCAAUAAUAUAUUCAAGGUAUCAAACAGAUGUGUCCCAAAGGAAAACAUGUUAAAUGUUACUGAUCUUAAAUUUUCCUACUUCAGCAUACCCAAGGAUUUUUUUUUUAGCACAAGCACGUGCUGACACUUUUUUAGCUGGGCAACACACCCUUGUGCUAGCCGAUUUAUGCCAGAAAUUUGACCAGUCAUAUGCUAGCACCACCAACAAGGGCCAACAUGGUAUGCUGAUACUUCUUGGCAUAAUACACUCUGACCUGUACUAACACAUGCCAAAUGGCACCCUUGAGUACAGCUAACAGAUCUCUGGCAAAAUCAUUGAUAAAAAUUUGUUGUACAAUACUUGAUAUACCUUCAUUAACAAACGUCCAAAACUAUGCAAACUAAAAGCUCAUUAACAAAAUUAUAAACAGUACCUCCAGAAAAUUAUUAAAUUGUGCUUGCAUUUUUCCUGCUUCAGUGCCCCACGCCUCAAGAAACAUUCGACUUAGGACAAAAACACCAACUGCAGUGUAACUAUAUAAAAGCAGUCUUUAGUAUCACCUGUUGAGGUAGACAAAUCAAACUUCAAUAAUAACUAAACAAACUUGUUCCAAACAUACAUGUUUCCGAAACUGUUCUUUGCAUAAGCUCCACCGUGAUGACCAGCAUACAUAAAAAGGGAACCAGAGUGCUUGAGAGACACCUUCAAAAAUCAGAAGGUAGAACUAAAUACAAAUAUAAUAAUAUAUGGACUUAGCAAAUUUGUUCAGCAAAUAUUCUUCUCCAAUAUCUUUUACUUUUCAAAUUUUGGCAACUAAAAAAGAAAACAUAAAUAUACUAAAAAUCAGAGGAGCCUAGAGAAUCAAACGUCAUACCUCUACUGUAGCUUGACCAUGAGAGACCAUUUCUAUCAUUCUUAUUCUGAUCUGCACAUCAAACACAAUAACCCAAUUAGAACAUUCUUCAAGAAGUACACUAUCAACUUUACCAACUAAGCAAAUUAUAGUUAUCAUAUAUGAGUUCCAAAUGGCACAUGGUUUUAAAUCAUGGAAGAGUUGCCCCUUUGCAAACUGGGUCACCAGGUUUCAAGUCAUGAACGUAGCACAUUGGCCCUCCCAAGACCUUGUGUCACUGAAAACCGCAUGCUCUCGCCACCCUUUUUCCAACUGAGAGAUGAAGCUGAUGUCACUAAACUUGACAGCAACUCCUUUGUCAAAUGGGCAUAUCACAUCAUAGACUCAUGGUCAAACAAUAGUUGGAUCAAAAAUGGUCCUAUUUGGACUUACUUUGCUCAAUUGGCAAAAAAAAAUGCAUGAGCAAGAGCCAUAGAGCUAACCAGAUACUGACUGACGAGGCACCAAAAACACCAAAGAAUGCACCAGCGCACUGCCAGAAACCUCAUGCACUAAGCCACACCUUUUCUUCAGAAAACCAAUGAGGAUGAUGCCACUAAAAUUUGACAUCAACUCCUCUGUCAAGUAGUACAUCAUAUCACUCUCUCAUAGCCAACGUAUAUUUGGAUCAUAAUGGGUCUAUUAAUGUGUACUUUGUUCAAUAUUGGCCAAAAAAUGCAUGAACAAAGGCCAUAGAGCUAACCUAGGUCAUAAACCUGUUGCUGAGGCUCUAAAACCACCUAAGAAUGUCCUUAAGGACAAAUACAAACUACUUAUAUUGUAAAAAAUAUAUAUAAUAAUGCAAAACCAACAUGACUGCCAGGAAUAAGAUUAAGCAUAAUCAAGAGAUAUAAACUGGAAAGAAUUAACAAUUCUCAACAGAAUUCCCAUUGUGGGUUUAAAUAAAAGAGUACUAACCAACAGUGAUUUAAAAAGCGCUAGGCGCCAAAAGGCACUAAGGUCCAAAAGCGCCCGAGGCGCUAGGCGCCAAAAGGCGCUAAGGUCCAAAAACGCCCGAGGCGCUAGGCGCUCGCCUGAACGAAGCGAGACGCUAAAAUAUAAAAAUAUAUAAUAUAAUUAAUAAAUAUAAUUAUUUAAAAUUUUAAAUAAAAAUAUGCUAUUAAAUUAAGAAAAUUAACAGUAUUAAAAUCAAAAUAAUAUAUUAUUAAUCUAAUAAAUACAAAUACUAUUAUUAGAAUACUGUUAACAGUAUACAGAAUGAGAAGAAGGAAGAGGAGUGCAAGGGAGUGCUGACUGAGAAAAGAGGAAGCGACAGUAGUAGUGGCAGCGGGAGCGGGAGUGUAAGGAGGCAACAACAGCAGGAGUGUAAGGAGGCAGCGACAGCGGGAGCGAGAGUGUAAGGAGGCAACGGGAGCGGGAGCAGCGAGCGACGACAGCGGCAGCAGUGACGAGCAACGGCAGCGGGAGCGGCGACAACGGUAGCGAGCAGCGACAACGGCGAGCAGCGGGAGCGACAGCAGCAACAAGCAGGGUUAGGGUUGGGCAACGACAGCUGAUAUUGGUUUUAGUUCGUUCGAUUGAACCAACUAACCACCGAAACCGAACCAGACCUAAAAUCCUGGUUCGGUCGCCUGGUUUAACCUAAGCGCUCGCCCGAAGCGCCCAGCGCCUAAGAUCGGGCGAGCGCCCAGGCGGCGCCUCUUUGAAGCGCGCCGCUUGAAAGUGAAGCGAGGUGCUCGGGCUUCACCUCGCCUCGCCUGAGCGCCUAGGCGAGCACCCGAGCGCCUUUUUAAAUCACCGCUAACCAAUAUACAUGACAUAGCUGCUAUUCGCGUAGGUUUCCAUGGAUGCAAUAAAAUUUCCUAUGUCUCCUCUCUCUACCCUUUCAUAGUUGCUUUAGAGAUCUCUUACCCAAGAAAAUAAUCGAACAUAUGAUUUAGUAUCUUAAUUGCUCAUGUGUUAUUAAAAAUUAUGUAAUAUUAACAUAUUUCUGUCCUAAAUCCUGCUUCAAAUCGGUAUCAACUACAUAUCCAGGUUCAUAUUUGUGUCCAUUGUAGACAAAAACAACCACAAAGUUUAGCAAUACAACAUCUGCACCUGAAUUCAUCUCUGCUAAUUAAACAUGAAUAUUGAAACAGUUUACCCAUUAUCUGACAGAUGCUAGUCAAGAUGCCAAUGAAGAAUGUUGGUUUUAAAAAAAAACUACCAAAUCAUCCAAUGUGGCAAAAGAUCAUGUAGCUGCACAAACCGAGGCUAAAGAAUUAUUUGCACCAAUGGUGAGACAUACACAACAAGUCUCCAACUUUAGCGAGAUGCAAUUAAGAGGGGGCAACGAUAUCCAUAAUCAAACAAGUCCAAAAUGAGUCACCAGAUGAAUAAACCAAGUAUCUUAUGCUUAAACUCCAAUAAAUCUCUCAGAAAUAUGAAUGAAAACAGAAAUAAGAAACUCAUUAAGCAGAUAAUACCUCCUGAUCCGACUUCUCAUUCUCAAAUUUUGGAUAGAACGUAGCUCUUAUUUGUGCGUGUGAGAAGGUGUUAUUAUCCACGUUAAAAUGUGCACCGAUGGGACCCUUGAACAGCUUCAUCAAGUUGUUGGCGCUACUGCCCGUCUCCUCCUCUGUUGGAACCGAACUGAUGGUGCUCUCAACCGGAGCAGCCACAGCACUAGUAGCAGUCACAUAGGAUUUAGGUUUCCACAAGCCCUUCUGUUGGCUCUUCACGGAUCCCUGGUUCGACAGCGGUGCACCACCAAGCUGCAUCGGAAGUGAACGGGCAGCAGGAUUGUCGGCAAUGCUCAACCUUCCGACUCCAUCGGCCACUGCAGACGCUGUAACUGGUGAGGAGGGAGGAGAUCCCACGGCUGCAGGCCGCUGCUUCUCCUUCCAUUGCGUCGUCUGCUUUCCCUGCGAUAGGAAAUCAAGAAAUGUCGACCAGAGGAAGACCAAGUGCGAAAACAAGAAGCGUACAUCGAGAACACGAUCGACGACGAAAUCAAGAAGCGUCGAGGGUGUGGUGAAGAACAAGAUCGACGACCAAAUCAAGAAACGUCAAUCACGUUGACAUCGAAAUCAAGAAAACGAUCUAGGACGAAACGAAGAAACAUCAAUCGACGGCGAAAUCGAAAAGCGUCGAUCGCGAAACGUCGGUCAGGAACACGAACGAGGACGCCGGAGCGGGGGAAGAAAAUGGGGGACGGGACUGGGGGCGUACCCGAUGGGCCAUCGGCGUCGACGAGGCUCCGAAGAAGCGACGGGGGACCGGCGGGGACGGUGAAAGGGGGAGGCGGCGGCGAAGGAGGAGGAUGAGGGACGGCGAGGGCGAGAAGGGUUUUGGGGGAGAGGGGAGGUUGAGAGCCAGGAGGCUUAGGAAGCGCCCCUGCGAGAAUUUCGACAUCCAAUGCCGAGGCGGCGGUUGUUCCACGGACUUCCGAGUGGGCCGCCGCGACACGCAGAUGCCAAAUUUAUAAUAGAGCGCGAGACGGAAUUAAAUCUGAGGGUUGAGUUUUGGGCCGGCUCGCGGCCUAACAUUUCUACCUUGGAUUUUGUGGACCGGCCCACAUGCGUAGUGGAUCGUUUGUUCUUCGGCGUAACUUUAUCUCCACUUCUCAUGCAUUAAUGUAUUAACAUACAUAUUUACAUUGCACAAUAUUUUGUCAAUAUCUCUACUUUUACUAGGAGGAAAUUAAACAUUUAAUUCAUGUAAUAAGGAAAAAAGUUUUUUUUCUUAAUCAUAAAGAUAUGUGAUCAUUAAAAAGUGACUAAAUAAAAAUAUAUUAUCUUAGCGAUAGAGUCAUUGAAAUGUUUUUUUAUUUUGUAUUUUGGAUCAUCACUUCAUCAAAUUUUAUGGAAUAAUAUACUACUGUUGAAAAAUAGAAAAAAUUAAAAUUUUAUUGGUUAAUAUAAACUAUCUAAACAAUAAAAUAUAUAUUGAAUAUUAUAUAUAUGCUUAAAUCACAUAAGACAAUUUAUCAUAAUUAGAUUAAUAGACAAAUCAUGUGAUGUGAAAGCUUGAUUAUAACAUGCAUAUUGGUAAUUGAGAUCGGUUGAUUGUGUUGGGAAAUCUUAGGGAUGAGCAUAAAACUCAAAGUGAUAAAAUCGCGUAAGGAGUGUGAGAUGUUUUCACCUAAGAAAAAUUGUAUAUCCCUAAUUUGCAUAUCUCAAUCUCUCACAAACUCUUCUCCAGCGAUUAUCCAUACAACGAGUGAGGCAAUGACACACCUAUUCUUUUCUUGUAUUUAUGUAUCACCACACUGUAGCAACCAAUGAGGGAUCGGUCCCUCUUAUUAUCCUCUCAAAUUAGAGAGGUGGUAGUCGACUUUAGAAAGAAGUAUGGACGAUACAAGAUGAUAUAAUCUAUGUAUACUCUAAGUUACCGUGUACGUAUAAUCUCUCGUUCAUCUAAUAUCCCAUGGAUCAUAUGCGGAGCAUGAUACUAUCAAUCCCAUACGGAAUCAUAGGAUAUUUUUCUCAUGAUAUUGAGAGUAGAUGAUCCUUUAUUGACACUCAAUUACCUUCGUAGGAUUGGCUAUCAUUCCCAAUGAUCAGCUAUACUAGACAUAAAAGUUUCAAACAUGUAAGUUAUGUAUCAAAGAAUCGAGUACUCAAAUAAGACAUCAUUGGUAUCUCAAGUCUAAAAACCAGAUAUAUAUUUGAGAGUAUAAAAUCAUUAUUUAACGAUAGAGGUAUCAAAUUAACCAACAUUCCAUAAGCAUAUCAUUCAGUGAACUCAUUCUCCGAUAAGCUCUUGCACUAUAUCCAUAGUAUCAUUAUACAAACAACUAUGAGACCAGCUAUCUUUAUCAUAUUGACGGGUAUAUAACACAUCGGUCUAUUCGAUUAUCUCGAUAUCCUUUACGAGUAAUAUACGAUCAGAAAUAUUUAAGAUAUAUAUUUAAAGGUGAAUUUAUCUCAUUAUCAUAAUAUCUUAUCCAAUAUAAAAUAAAAAAUAUGUAUCCAUCACAAUAUAUAUAGAUCUAUGAACAUCAUGAAAUAUACACCAUCCAAUAUAAAAUAAAAGAUAUAAUAAUAAUAAUAAUAACAAAAAAAAAGAUUAUACAGCUUAUAGCUUAUCACACAUGCGAUUAGUUUAAGGGUCACAUUAACCAGCAGAUCGUUGGCUCCAUCUCACUGUUUCCACUAUUUGAUAAAGGAGAAAUUGAUAUCUCCAACAUCAACACAUGAACAUCGACACAAAUGACACUAUUAAAAUCGUAAUUGAGUCAUACACAUUGCAUCAUCGAUCAUCUUCACAGUAAUUAUGUCACUUCAGUGGUCGAAGUCAUCAUCCCAGUGACUAUUAAGCUCCACCAUCAGAACCUUGUUAGUAGUUAUACCCCCAUGGUAGUAGUUAUGCCAUCACAACAAUCAAAAUCACCAUCUCAUCUAAUUUAUCAUUAUUUCAAUAAUUAUAUCACAUCAAUGAUCAAAACUAUCACCUCAACAUAAUUAGACCAAGUCAUUAAUCACCUUUGUAGUCAAAAUCAUCACGACAUAGGUGAUUAGUUAAUGUCAUCAACCAUCUCGAUAUCUACUCGAAUCAUCGUAACUAUAAAUGACUAUAGAUAUCUAACUAUAAAUAUUUUUUUCUACUUUUAUUUCCUAAAAUCUAUUAUACUUUGCGUAUCUUAUUACUUAAUAUCGGAGAGAUCAAGUUAAAAAUCUUCAACAUUAUAGAUGCAUAGGUAACAUCUCGAGAGUACUAAUUCUUCAGUAACCGCCUAAAUCUACAUUGGCCAAUUAUUUAGAUUUUUUAAAUGUUUUAAGCAUGGUCUGCAGUAUCGAACUGUACUGCCCGGUACGGGAGGUACGUAUCGGUCCAACAAAUUGUCGGUACGCGGACCGCCUGUUACCGAUCCGAGUGCACCGUAGCACUGUAGCAGUGUUACAAUACUCGACACAUCUGAGUAUAUCGUUCGGUACAUCUGGGUGUACCGCUCGGUAUACCGUACCGUACCGGUACCGAGCCCAGGUCAAAACAUCGAUACGAUGUUUACGCAAAUGAUGACUAAUCGAUGAAUCGAUCUUCUUAUAACAAAAGAUCAAAGUCGAAUGAGAAGCCAAUGCUAAGAAGGCUUAUGGAUAGAUACAUUGACAGGAAUCGAGAAAGAGAAGGAUUACUUGAUUCAUGUUAAACAUCUUCCAUCAAAUGUCAACAUGCUUAAGCUUGCAUCUUCCACAGCAUCCCAAGUCUCGAAUGGCUUCUGAUUUAGAACAACAAAAUCUCUGAGAUUCUAGUGUGUCUAGGAUCCCAUGUCAGUUUCCUCCUGUGAACAGCGAGAGUUAAAGCUCAAGGCCACUGAACCUCCAACAUCUUCCAAGCUUUCACGAUCACAUUACCAGCUGGUGAUUACAGUUCCUGUAGGCGAGAGUCAUCUUCUUGGACGUCUGUCAUGCCAAUUACGAUAGCUCCCGAGACAUUGAUGUGAAGCAGGAGCAACACUCCCCUGUAGAGCCUGUGAAGCGUAUACCUGUGCUGCCAGGACCAUUGCUCCUGUCACGGCACUUCAAAUCUGUCACGUACUUUCCACCAUGUCUCACCUGUUCUUGAUCUCCGAACUGCAACUUACUGCAACUUCUACAGGGUGUGCGACACCCAACAAGUAGGGCACUGCAGUGAGAUUCUCUUCUGUAGCUCCCACAGUGUGCUUCUUGUACUGGUCCUAUGAUUAGUGGCCCUAAAUGACCAUCCAUUUCUAUGCUGUGAUGGCAUCUACACCACACCUCUACAUCGGCACUACAGCACUUAGUAUCAGCCUUCCCGAUCUCCAUCAUACUCUCUGUCUCUUCUUUUUCCGGUCUUCCUCUGCUCUUACUUCCUUUCCUCCCUUUCACUUUAUUGAUAUCUGCGUCGGCGCAUUGAAUUGGCUGAUGAGUCUACUAAACCCUCUCUCUCUCUCGCUCCCCCUUAUGGCCUGUGGACUGUGGUAGAGCCAGCGAGAUGAAUGGAAGGGGCAGCGGAGGUGAUGGGGGCGUUGUGUGAAUGAUUGCCACCAGCUGUGCGUGAUUGCAACAAGCAGGUUUACAUCGAACAGCGUCACAUGGCCAUUGAUGUGAUCCUUGAUGUGGUCCUCAAGGAUCGGACGGCCGUGAUCCGUGCGCCAUUGGCGCUGCCGCAUGCGCCGUUGCCUGUGUCACGGGCGUGUUGUUAUUGCCAAUGGGCCUCAUCACAACUACUCUGCCGCUGGCUUCUUGUCUUGUCUAAUUAUUUUUCCUCCCCAUUCAAAUAGAUUCCUAAUUAUCUUAAUUGCUUGAAAAUAGUUUCCAAGAAUAUAUAUAUAUAUAUAUAUAUAUAUAUAUAUAUAUUUACCACAUUAAAAUUACCAAAAUUGAUUAUUAUCAUGUGAUGUCAUCAAAAUUGAAGAUAUGAUUUUAAUAAAAUAUUUAUAGCCUAAAAUUCUACGAUGGUUAAUUAUAAAUUAUCUCUUUAUAAUUAGUUAUCUUUAGUAUUUCGAUUCUUAUUUUUUUAAAAAAAUUAUAUUGAGAUAUUUAUAUUUACGAAAUGAAAGAUUCAGAUCCAUAUAGAUAAAAGAAUAAUUUUAUAAGAUUAAAAAUUAAAAAUUCUUAAAAUAAAGAAAUUAAAUAUUUUAUUUUCAUAAAUAUAAAUAUAUAAUUAGUUCUGAUAGUUAAAAAAAUAUAAAUAUAUGCGGAUUCGAACUUUAUUACUUUGGAUCAUAAAGGAAAAAAAAAAGGUGCAAACUUUGUUGCUUUAUUAAGGCAACUUUGUGAUGUCUUUUAUUUUAUCCUUCUUUAUUGGUUUUUUAAUUCAGCUUUUAUGUUUGAACGACCAACGAAUCGUUCGGUUUCUCUUCGGUCUCAUUCUUUGCCGUACACCUGAUGAUGAUUCGUAGGUCAUCGAGACUCGGAGUUCGCAGCUUUGGAUUUGAUGCUGUUGUCGUUUGCCUUUGUGGCCUUAUCACAAAAGGCAUCCAUCCCCCUGCAUCUACUCGGGCACCCGGAAAGCUCUUCCGGUUUGCAUGGGCAUGACAAUAGCAGUUUCUUCUUCCUUUUGACGCCACCGGUGAUUCAAAGGUACAAACUAUGCUUUGAUCAGAGUAUCGUGGGAUGUAGAUUGGUUGCAUGGUAUAGUUUAAUCCAAAUCUUUGGAUGUGUUGCUUGUGCUGGACGAGGUGUUCAUCGCUUCCGAGGAGUUUGGGGAUUACGUCGUUUAGCGAAACUCUUGUGGACAUAUGUUGUGGUGGUCGUUGGCGACUAAGGAUUCCGACUUCCGUAGGGAGGCUAAUCAACACCUCAUGUGUUUGAAGAAAUGUUUGUGAGAAUUCAUCUCCUGGUAGGACCAGUGUUGGUGUGGCCUGGGGAAGAGAUAAGCCUUGGAAAGUAGAUCGAACUAUGGUUAAGUGGUGCUUGUUGUUGUUAGGCUUUCCUCGGACAUCUGUGGAUUGUGUUAUUGACCUGAUACUAACCUAAGCACUUCCGACAUCCCUUUUACGUGACAAGGAGUAACAUGCUUUAGGUGAAGGCAAGCAUGCUUGCCUCUCUAAUGCACCAGACAACCACCCCGAAACUUAUCUUCUUUCUCAUCAUAGAGAAGGGAUCAUGGUGGGCAAGUGCCUUAUUGGUCCAAUCAAAUCCGGUGAUAGUGAGGAGCAACUCACCCAGUACUUGAUGCCCACUUAGAUCUAAUGGAGUUUGGUCUCAAAUCUGCUGGGAAUUUAUAUCCCAUCCACAGUCUUGUCACAGUCCAAGCUUUGGUGAGCCGGUGGUUCUUAUCCAACCUGGAGGGAGAAGGUGGUGGGAAACAAAAUGCUGGUCUCUGUAUGUUGCUGUUGCUGCCAUUAAUUCCACCAUUACUCCUGGAAACAUCCCUUGUGCUGCGUAGUGAAUAUCUGUCAGCAUCAUUACAAAAUUGACAAGGAUUUGAUGGAACCUUUAAUUCCUUGUUGCGUUUACCCUGCAAAACCCUGGAAUUGAGCUGGUGCUUCUAAAUCUGCGUAAGAUGAGUUCCACCUGCAACAUAUCCCCAGGAACCUUUGUAGCUCCUCCAGAUAAGACAGUCAAGGGGUAACUCUGUAACUCCCCUGCGACACUUUCCUGUGCCUGUUUGUGCGAGUGGAGCUUGUGAUAUCUCUUUACCUAGUUUAUUUUCAGAUGUGAGGACCUACCUAUUGCAGGUUCAUGAUGAUCACAAGAUACUCCUGUCUCCACCAUCUCCUUUCACCAAUCACCCACUACUUUACAUGUAGCCAAGAGGAGUUCAUAAAUGACCAUAAAUUUCCUUUUUUAGGUGCUAACUUAGCUAUUCUGCUUAUAUUUAUCUCACUGGAGAAUUAGAUUAAGUGAAUGAUAUCGUCUCAAAAAAUUGAUUCUUUACCACUCAUUCACACAUACUGUAAGUUUUUCGGCAUGAAGUUUUUUUUUUUUUUUUUUUAACCCUCUCAUCAAUUAAAUCUGACUAUAUAUCUGUAUGAAAAAAAUAGGGUUGGAAACACAAGAGGAGCAACAACAUCAUGGUGGAGGAGUCACAUAUACGAGCCCCAGGUAAGAAAAGCUCCCCCCUUCUCUGACAAAUAACUGUAUACGGAAUUGCUGAGGCUUGGUGUAAUCAUCCAUUGUCCUCUCCGAAAUUUCAAUAGAUUCUCUCCUUUCCUAGAAACUUACACCAUGUCACUUGUUACUCUCACCAGCUAGCCUGUCCAAGUAUUUUGCAAGUUCAAAUUAAAUUCUAGGCCAACGGCAAAGAAGAAGUUUCUUAGUGUACCAUGUAGCAGACAGAAGAUAGAAUGAGGAAAAAAAAAAAGGUAAAGCCUGCAGAUAUUUUUUUUACCUUUUUUUUUUACUGGGAACAGUUUUAUUAUUUUUCUCAUUCUUAUGGUUUGGUUAUAAUAAAUGAAGUUUCUUCGAAAUAAAAUGAGCUAGAGAUGAUAAAAUCUUUCUUUUAAGGAGAAGAAUAUGUAAUACGGACGGAAAAGUUAAUAUGAAAAUAAUAAGUUGUGUUCAUGAAACCGUGGAUGAACUAUUCUAGAGUUAUAUUGCAAUGAUCAUGAAACUAUGGAGAGCUGGAGUAUAGUCUACUGCAAGGCAGCUGCCUGCUGUCAAGUAUGGGUUGCAAGCUAUAUCGAAGGUAGGAAUCAGACAAAUCCAGUUUGAAUCCAUCUCUGAGCUUCUAAUACACAUUCUUAUGAACAAGGAUAUUUUCUCAAAUUUGCAAAGUUUUGAUGCCUACUCCUUUAGACAUGUCUUGGAGAAAGUAAUGCAAUAUUCCUUUUUGCAAGUAAUGCAAUAUUCCUUUCUAGCAAAAGCUAAAUAUUCAUGAAUCUCAAAUCAAUACAAACGACUCCAGGAAAUAUGCAUCUCACCUUGUGAUGGAGCCUAUAUUUAAUGGUUGACAAAGCAUAAUUGUCCUCUCUGAUAGCAUGAGCUGCACCAAACAUACUGAAAAUGUUUUGAGCAUUUUCUCUUUUUGCAGACUUGCUGAAGUGCUUUCAAUGAACAGCUCCCCACAUGAGCAAAAGCAAUGUGAAACUACAGUGACUGUUAGGAGGAGCAGCUACAUGAAAGAAGUAUCCAUCUUGGCCAAGGCAAAGAUAAGUGAGUAAAGCCAUGGUGAAAGAUUCAGGAUCCACAUGAUAAAAGUUCUGCUGCUGCAACUGACUCAUUGCAAAGAAAAGGUUAGAAAAGCUAAAGCUGGUAGGGUUUUCCCCUUUAUCUCAGAAUGUGUUUAUGGGGUUUGACUCCUCUACAUUCCAUGUUUUAUUGCCCAGUGAAGGGUUUUGAGGGCAUUAAUUGGCCACAUCCCUAAUCUGCCAAAAAGAGAAUGCUUAUCCCAAACUUGAUAUGGGAGCAGAGCAUGUGGGGACUUUUAGAUGAAGCCAACAAAUUGGGAUGCUGGGGGCCCAGCUGAAGGGCCACAUCUGAUACCACCCAAUGGUUCAUGGGUCCCUCUUGACCCUGUGGUGUGGGUCCUCCCUCAACCAAUCUUUGCACCUAAUGGUCAAAGGGGACUGGGACUUGUUGGUGGAUUGGCUUAGGACAAAAGGGUUAUAUGGGUGGUUAAAUUUUUUAGUGAGAUCUAAUUACCAAUUCUAAGGUUGACUGAGACUUGACCUUUUUCUAAUAUGCUUGACUUCCAUUUUAUCUCUGUCCCACAUAUCAAAUAGAUGUUUUUCUGAGGCAGUUGAUCUGGAGAUCAUCGUCUACAAAAUGUUAGAGUUUAUGUGUGCGCAUGCACUCUUUUUUAUACAAUUCAUGAGACACAGUUCAUGAAUUUGGACCAUCAUGUAAUUGUCCGCCCCUUCAUACCCUUCUCCGGCUAAGCAUCUCUACAUUAAUUGUUCCCUUUUUGUCUUCAAUUGACCAGCCUACUCGUCAUGCGAAUGGUGUGAGCCCUUCUUCAAUCAGAGACGUAUCACUGCUUUCACCUACACAACCAAAGGUAGGGAAUCAAUCUACAGGACAAAUCAAAUCAAAAUGAUGUUAUGGGUGGGGCGGUGGGAUUGAUUCCAUUUCCCCAUCUAUCAAAUACCAAGAGCAGGAUAAUAUAAAUUAGAUUAAUUCAAUUUGAAGGAUGUGUUCCUUAGACUCUAUCAUACUGUUAUGAGAUUUUGCUCCAUCUUCAUAUAUAUAAGAUCGAACCAGACCUAUCUGAUUCUAAUAAUCAUAUAUAUAUAUAUAAUACAUAGUAAGAGGGGAUAUUAAGUUGAUUCUAAUAAUAUUAACUUUAUUUAAUUAUGAUAAUAUAUUCCGAAUUUAUUUUAUUUGGACCUACUCGCCAUACAUAGCUAAUAUUACCUUUAUUCUGAUAUUAUACUUGAUGUGGAAUUAUUUACUGUAUCACAUGGCAUUUUAAUGUUUUCAUAUCAUAUAUUGAGGUGUUACAAUGUGUUCUAGUGAUUGCAUAUCACACCAAACUUUAUAAUGUGUGUUACAUGUAAAAGAGAGACGGUGAGGGAGAUUACAUUUAUAGGACCAAAAGAUAGAGAAAGAGAGUUGUCGGUAUUACUCUCUCUCUCUCUCUGGUUUCUCUCUAUAAAACCCCGUCCGAAAGAUUGGCUCUUGGAAACUAUACCAUUGCCAAGCCGCGGCCAUGGAAGAAGCUGGCGAGCCGUGGCGGUCGGAGCUACAACGCCCGCCGGAGCCGACCAAGGACCCGAUGGAGUUCCUCUCCCGCUCCUGGGCCGCCUCCGCCCUCGAGGUCUCGAAGGCCCUGGCCCCGCCGCCGCCGCCCCCGCCCCCGCAGCCGGCCGCCAUCCCCGAGGACGCCGCCGCCGAGGUGGAGGAGCUCGGCGUCGCGGCAGCGGUCGCAGGGAACACCUUCUCCUUCGCCUCUUCCGCUACCUCGCAGCUCGUCAUGGAGCGGAUCAUGUCGCAGUCGGUGAGCCGCGUGCCAUCUCCCUUAUCAAUCCUCUCUUCCACUACAAACCAAAUUUUUUUCUGAUGCUGAAGUCUGAUGUUUGUUACUCUGUUUCCUUCCCCUGUUCUUGUUGCCAUGGCAGGAAGUGGCUCCUCUCACAUCAGGAAGGCUCUCCCACAGCAGUGGACCUCUCAACGGCGGCGGAUCACUCUCCGAUAGCCCUCCCGUCUCCCCCUCCGACAUGGACGACGUCAAGGUCAUUCCUCUCCUCUCUCUCUCUCUCUCCUUCUCGCUAAUUCUUCAGUUGCUUCCUUCCUUGCUCCUCUUCGUGUUGAAGAAAACAAUGUCUUCUUGUGAACAAAGACGACGGAUUCUUCGUCAGAUGGAGACACUGCACGAAGUCAUAGUGACGACCGAACUGUUUCCAGUCGUCUCUCUAUAAUGUCAGCGUAGAGAGAGAGAAAAAGAAAGCUAGAAAAAGAGAACGGAGAAAGGGCAGAGAAAACGAGGCUUUAUCUUCUUCCAAUAAAACCACUGACAUCUCAUUUCCAGGGCCCGUCUUUGGACGACUGUUUUCUUUAGCAUCUGCGAGCUUUUUGCUCCCCCCACAUAGCUCUGGUUUCACAGUUCCACACACCCAGUAAUCUUCCGUCCUCGUAAAAUGCCACCUUUCGAGCUUUGAUCGAUCCACCUUACAACAGUUCAUUGAUGGUUUGGUUUCUACUCUUGCUGUUGUCCUGUGCAAUUUGCGCAUGGGAGCAAAGGCCACUUCUUUUGUCCUGUUUCUUUCUGAGCUGAGCCUGCGUUGGGAUGUGGGCUUCGUUUUGCUUGUGAGCAAAGAAGUUGUCAUUCCUCUCUGCAGAGCUUGUCUCCUCUUUGCCCUCGUUAAAGCGGCAAACUGCUUUCUCUCACAGUGUUAGCCUCCUCUGCAUCCUUGAUCACCUCAAUUCCCCUCCAUUACUGUCUCUUGAAACCUGUUAAGCUGUGUUGGAAAUAAGUUGGAAGUAAUUGGUCUGGCAAAUUCUUGGAACAUGGGAAGUGCUUUAGAAUUCGUGGCUAUCGCAAGAGCUUAAUAAUGGUGGAAUCCAUGCAGUUCUGUGGAGCUGGUAACGCACCGAAGGCGCAACCUUACAGGGGGACGAGCAAGACAGUUGGGAGGUGGCUGAAGGAUAGGAAGGAGAAGAAGAAGGAGGAGACCCGGGCCCAGAACGCGCAGCUCCAUGCCGCGAUCUCCGUGGCCGGGGUGGCCGCGGCAGUCGCCGCCAUCGCAGCGGCUACCGCUGCCGCCUCGGGCUCCGGCAAAGACGACCGCGCCGCCAGGACCGACAUGGCCGUGGCCUCGGCCGCCACCCUGGUGGCCGCUCAGUGCGUCGAGGCCGCUGAGAGCAUGGGGGCCGAGCGCGAGCACCUGGCGUCGGUGGUUAGUUCUGCUGUCAGCGUCCGGACGCCGGGGGACAUCGUCACUCUCACCGCCGCCGCCGCCACCGGUAACAAUGUCGACAUCCUCUCGCUCACGACCCAGGUUGUUCUCCUCGGUCUAUUCGUCGGUCCAUGAGACUUCCCAUGCAUUGGCAGCGUUGAGAGGGGCGGCGACGCUGAAGGCGAGGGCGCUGAAGGAGGUGUGGAACAUCGCCGCCGUCAUACCGGUCGAGAAGGGAGGGUCGGCGAACCACACCAACCACCGCCGCCGCAGCAAGCAAGAGAAGGAAUUGGACAGCAACAGCAGUAGUUUCAGCGACGAGCUCGUCCCGGAGGAGAACUUCUUGGGCCUCUGCAGCCAGGAGCUCCUCGCUCGAGGCACCGAGCUGCUCAAACGCACACGGAAAGGUGAUGUUCCCAGCCCUCCACCAUUUCAUCUCUUGUUGGGAGCUUCGUGAAACCAAUUCGCGAGCUGAUCUUUACUAGCAGGCGCACUUCACUGGAAGAUCGUCUCCGUUUACAUCAACAAAAUGGGUCAGGUAAUCUGAUUCUUGCAGCAGUUACAGUCCCGACUUCGAGACGAUGAGUUCUUGAUGUUGUUCCUGGCGCUGCAGGUGAUGAUCAAGAUGAAGAGCCGGCAUGUGGCAGGCACCAUCACCAAGAAGAAGAAGAGUGAGUCCCGUGCACGACGACAAGCACCUGAAGCUCCCUCUUUCUUCCAGGUCUCACGUGCCGUUGAAACUGCUCCUUUGCAGAUGUCGUCGUGGACGUCUGCAAGGACAUCCAAGCAUGGCCGGGGCGGCACCUACUGGAGGGCGGUGAGCAGCGCUGCUACUUCGGGCUGCGGACGGCGGAGCAACGCGUGAUAGAGUUCGAGUGCCGCAGCCGGAGGGAGUACGACAUGUGGACUCAGGGCGUUUCCCGCCUGCUCAACAUCGUCAACGAGAAGAAGCACGUCGCCUGAACACGACACGAUCGAAAGCCAACUGCGAGCUGCACGCAUGCGUGGUAUCCAACCGCCACUGUAAAGAACGGGAAGGGAGGCGACGGUGAUUCCUGUGCAGUCUAGAUAUUUUUUGUCUCUUGUUCUUCGCCGGGUUUGCUGUACAUCUACCGAUGGAGGAAAGAGCAGUGGUUUGUGUUCACCACUUGCUUUCACUGCUCAUGGCUGGGAAGAAUCUUUGACCGAAGCUAAAACAAAAAAAGGCAAAUCUUGUGGUUGAAAGAUCAAAAGCUCUGUUGCCCCCCUCUCCCCUUUUCCUUUUCUUGUUCCUCCUUUCACAUUCUUCAUGCCCCACUAUCUGCAAAAGAGAUGAUAGAACCGGAGAUUCAUGAUUGAUGAGAGUGGAUUUCGCAGGAAGAGGACAAGAACUCGACCUUUUAAAUAUUUAAAUAUUAAAGAUACAAAAUACAAAAAAAAAUAUUUUUGAUAGUAGUAGUCUGCAGCUUCAACUACAAAUUCCCCUGUUCCAAAAGCCAGUUUGGUGUUUCAACAGUGAAUGCUUGACAAGCUAAUAGAUAUUACUCAGUGGCAGUGCUGCCACCAAUCUGUGGUCAAACUUCAUUGUUGCUUGAAUGCAGGGAGCACAAAACACCUGAAGGGUCUGAUCAGACUUUAACAUGAUAUAAUGAACAAGGUGAAGACACCAGAUUUGUGAGAACACUUACUGCUUUGAUGGGUUGCUUGAUGUGCACAUCACAGAAACUGUGAACAGACUGGAGGAUCAUGAAGAUGAAUCAAUUCAUACAAUUCUCUUUCUUCCUGGUUUAGAUUCAGUGGCAGUCAUUUAGCAACCAUGACUGCAACAUCAUACAAAUAAAUGCCAGUGAUUCACAAAUCUUUUAUUCAGUUUAGCAAGAGAUAAUCUUAAGGCUAAGGUAUCUGUCAGGAGACAGACAAAAACAAUGGUUCAGUUCCUAAUCUUCUUCUCCAGCUCCAUCAAAUGUUCAGGGAGACUGCUGGUUAGAUUUCGAUUACAUCAUCAAAGAAACACUAAAUGUAUACAGACAGGAAAUCAUCUCACCACCAACCUCACAUGGAAUGUCCAUUUGAGACACUCUUUGGAAGAGAUGAUUGGCCAUUGCUUCAAAUCUGAUGCAGUGAAGAAGGAGAUGAAGUCAAAUGAACAUAGGAUGAUUAGGUUUUGCAAUUAUAAUGCAGAUAGAUUCCAUGUUCAGCAUUGUGUGACAAAGAAGUGCAGUUGAUUCAUCCAGUUUGAACGAUGUAGCUAAUCAAAUCGACAAACAGUCAAAGAAAAAUAAAUAAGAUGACCUCUUCCCAAACAACAAAAAUGCCAAGAAACAGAGGCUUCCAAAAUGACCUCUUCCCAAUCUCCAAAUUAACUCCUAUGUUGCUGAAUCAAAAAAUCAAUAAGAUGAGAAUCUAUGUUUCUUUCUGUGGGAUGUUUUAGUCAAAGAAAAAGAAAGAAAAGGAAACUGGUGCAUUAGAGUGGAACUAAGCAUAACAACAAUAAUUAGAACAAGAAUGAUACAAGAUAGAAGCUGAAUGCAGCAAUAGGAAUCAGAACAAGAACGAUGCAGCAUGCAAACACAUGCAAGAAAUAGGAAUCCCACACAAAUGUAGGAGUUUGAUGACUUCAAGAAACAACAGGGAACAACCAAUAUAGAAACUUCUGAGAUAUUGGCCUCAAAUGCAGCAACUCCUAUGCUAAUAAAUGCUGAUAAUAAUAUCUACACAUUUCUGUAGGUGAAUUGCUGUUUAUACUUCAUGAUUAUUUGGUACGAUAAUCAAUGCAGACAAAGAUUCUUAUAAAACCAAUGUUAGUUUUAAUAGAUCGGCUCUGAUACUAAAUAUCAUGACUCGAGUUUGAUAAAUUAAUUAAUUUAUCAAUGUACCUAAAUCAUUUAUCAAAAUAUUUAAGUUAAUAUUAAUAAUAGUAUAUUUAUUAAAUCCUUAUAAGUUAAUCUUAAUCUUAUCCACUUAAUCGAGAUAUUAUAAUCAACUCUAUGAUUUACUUGGGAUGGUAAAGAAUAAGGUAUAUGUGGUCAUAGUCGAAUGAAAUUAAUUGAAAAAAACAUACAAAAUUAAUUUAUAAAAUAAAAAUAUAACAUAUUAUGAUUGAUUAGAUAAGGAAAUAUAACAUGACAUUUUUAUUAGUGAUUCUAAUAUGAUGUAUUGAUAUGUUUGAAUAAUAAAAUUUUAGUAUAUUAUUUAAUAUAUUAAUAAAAUUUUUAGCAUUGAUAGUGAAAAUAAAAUUUAUAUUUGACAUAUAAAACACUACUGUCCCUAACGGUAGUGUUUUGGUAUUGCUACGUUUGCCCACCAAGUUCGAUUCCAGAAACUUCCUCUCCUUUCCCGUGCUUGGUGGUUGCCAGCCGACAGGAUCCCACCUGGUUGGCGCUAGAAGCUUCUAGGUCCCACCACACGUGCUCUAGAAACUUCCACUACGGAAGAGGAAAGGGGCUCUUUUUUUGGUUUUCUCGGCUCAUCCUCGGUCGCGCUCUCCCAGCAACACGGUCCGACGAGAUGCCGCAUUUUCUUUGAUUCCUUGCAGGAAUCUUCCGUCGAAUUCGACGCUUUGAUUCGCCGCAAUCUCUCUCUCUUGGAGUCGUGAUCCGCCCUCGUUCGAUGAGCUCGACUCGUUCAUGCUAUGAUAUCUUGUUAAUCCGAAGGAGGAGGAUGCGUCUUUGUAGCUCCCUACUGAAGAACUGUUGUUCCCUUUUGUUUCUUUUACUUUGAUUUGGUUGCGAGGCUUCAGAUAUUCCCGGCUCUGCUUCGUUUAGUUCCCAUUCGUCGCAUCGAAGUUUCUACUUGUGAUUGCGUUCGUCUCUCUUUCGUGCACCCUGCCAUCGUUCCGAUGGGCCCUUUUCCUUUUCUUUCCUCAAUAUGUUGUCUCUUCCCCUCUUCAUCGAUGAACUCGGCUCUUUCAUGCUCUGACAUCUCGUUAUUCUGAAGGAAAAAUUGGGUCUCUGUAGCUCCUUUUACUGUUGGUAGUUGUUUUGGUCGUAAAGCUUCAGCAUUCCCGAUACUGUUUCGUUAUAUUCCAUUCAUUACAGCGAAAUUUGUUCUCGCUGAUUUCUUGAUCUUUGCUGCGGACCAAUUUCCCUUUUAUUGCUGUUCUAUCUGUUGACUCACAGCUUCCCAAGUUCGCAAUGUUGUACGUUUUAUUGGCUUUAUGACCUGGAAAAACCUUCCUUUGCUCCAAUCUUGUAGUUAGAUUGCCAUUGCGAAAUCAAAGCACUAACUUUCUUUUUAAACAUCCUUUUUCUACAAAUUUGGCUGAUUUAGGAAGUGUUCUCAAUUCUAUUUUUUGCUUGGUUGCAUUAGCCCUUUCGAGCUUGUAACUUCCUUUCCAAGUUUUCACUAAUCUUGCCAACUUUCUUGACAUUCUCUUCAACCAUGGAUCCUAAUCUGAACCCAGUGAAAGAGGAACAUCAGGAGUUCUCUGAUGCAUCCGCCUCUUCUACCGAUGUCGCCAUGGAUCCUCCUAAGCCAUUGGAUGGACUGCACGAUGUUGGUCCACCGCCUUUCCUUAUGAAGACUUACGAGAUAGUUGAUGACCCCAGCACCGAUCAAGUUGUGUCAUGGAGCCCGAGGAACAACAGCUUUGUGGUCUGGAACCCUCACGCAUUCGCGAUGACUCUGCUCCCAAGAUACUUCAAGCACAACAACUUCUCCAGCUUUGUCCGACAACUGAAUACCUAUGUAAGUAUUUCCAAUGUGGCUCAUUUUAUACACCCUUCUAGUUGUCUGCUGUCGAAUUCUUAGCUUACUUGGUUUAUUCAUUAUGUUAUCUCGUUCAUCUGACGGCAUAAAUAAAUCCAUUUUUUUGUGCAUAAAUAAAUCACUCAUGGACAAGAUGUAAUGGUUCAGCAGUAUAAAGGACUGUACCCUUUUUUUUUUUUUUUUUUUAGAAUGAGGUACGUAUUGAUGUAUCAGCAUAUGGUACGUUUGUAGAAUUUGGAUCCAUAAUGGUACGAGUCAAGUACCCAAACUUGAAAAUAUUAAUUUUAACACACUUCUAAUUCUUCUGUUGCUAAUGGUUGCAUGUUAUAUUGAAUGUAAUUAUGUACACCAUAAGAUUUGAUUCCAAGGGCAAGAAAGAGGUAGUCUCUGGUUAUGCAGCAACACUUUACCUGCUUCUGCAGCUAUCUUCUCAUCACUCUCUGCAUAAGCACAUAGGCGAAGGAGUAUUCUUUUAGUUUUAUAGUUUUUCUCUUCGGUAAUAUCUUAUUGUUUAUUUCCAGGGUAGGAGAAUACUCACAAGUUGCAUGUUGCAUGUCUCAUAAGUUAGAGAAGAAAAUAUAGAAAGAAGAUACACAGAAUGACAUGGACUCUUCCAGUAGAAACGAUUUUUUUUGAGUAACCUAUUUUGCUGUUGUGUUUCCAUGUUCUUCUGGCACCAGCUAUCAUGGCUUUUUCUAUUAGCUUUUCAGUUAUUAAAUCUGAGUUGUUUGCUUUUCAUGUUUUCGACUGCAUAAUUAUGAGGUUUCUUGAAAACAGAAUGUCUUUAGAUUUCAUUGGUCAGACUUUCCAUCUGUUGUAUUGCUUCUUAUAACAUUGGAUAUCCAUGCAGGGUUUCAGGAAGGUGGAUCCAGAUAGAUGGGAAUUUGCUAAUGAGGGGUUUCUCAGAGGCCAAAGGCACCUCCUCAAGACCAUAAAGAGGAGAAAGCAAGUCGCUUAUCCUCCUUUGCAGCAGCAGCCUCUCUCUUCCUUUCUUGAGGUGGGAGAAUUUGGGUUGGAAGGGGAAAUCAACAGGUUAAAACGUGACAAGCAAUUGUUAUUGACAGAACUCGUGAAGCUGAGACAGGAGCAGCAGAACACAAGAAACCAUCUCAAAGAUAUGGAAGAGAAGGUACUUGCAACAGAACAGAGACAGCAGCAAAUGAUGACAUUCUUAGCCCGGUUUAUGCGGAACCCCAGCUUCCUACAGCAGUUAGUUGAGCAAAAAGAGAGGAUUAAAGAGCUUGAAGAGGCCAUUUCUAAGAAACGAAGACGACCGAUAGAUAGAGCUCCUGAGAAUGAUGAUGUGGGCACAAGUGGAAACCCAAAACUGAAUAUUUCUACUAAAAUUGAAGCCGAGGAUAUACAUGACUUCCAUGUGGAGGAGGUCUCAAGUUUGGGUAGUCUGGCUCGAGAGAUACAGGAACUGGUCGACGAGAACAAUCAAGAACAGUUUGAGCUGCAAGAUGUCAAAUCAGAUGGGGAGCUGAACGAUGAAUUUUGGGACGACUUGCUAAAUGAAGGGAUCGAUGGUGAGAAAGGUAGAUUUGAAACUGAGUCUGGAGGUAACGAGGUUGUGAAUAUGUUGGCUGACAAAUUAGGCUUUCUUAGUUCCACCAAUCCCAGAUAGGGUGGCAAUUCAAUAGUUCGUAUCUUGGUUGGAGUCUUUCUACCUUCCCUGCAUUGGUUCAAUUAAUCUAAAGACACCCUUCAGCACAUCAUUUUCUCAUUUCCUACAUGGUGAUAUGGUUCAUGUUGUACAUCAGAAUAUGGAAAUUUAGGCCCAAAUUUCUUACAUGGAAUGUAUUUUAUUGAACCAUUCAUCAUGAUGCCGCAUCACAUCAUCUUUGGGGUCUUCACAUGUACCAUUAUAUCAUGAAAUUCAAUUAUUUUGUUGCCGUAAUCUAGUCAGACCCCUUUCAUUGCAGUGCUAUUGAUUAAACAUGGGAGGAUCCUCCUCCCAUGUUUUGUCUGCUCCUAGUUGGCAAAAACUAAAUUCUGAUGGAAAUUGUGAUAUGUAUUUAUAGUUGUACUAGGGAAUCAAGGGAAAGAUCUUUCUUGUUUAAAAUAUUCUGGUGGAGAUUAACUGGAUCAUUUUUGUUGACAUUUCUGGAUAUCAUUAUCUGCAAUAAGGUUGUUGAUUUUGUUAAAUAUUUAAACCUGUGGUGAUUACAAGUUUAGUAGUUUGAUAAAAUUCAAUAAUUCAAAUUACCACAUGUGGACAGACACAUAAAAAAUAAGGGUGUUUCUGAUGGUGCAUAUUAUUUAGAUUUUUGGAUUGACAAGCACGCCAACUCAUGUGUCUCAUGAACUCAGAAACAUGACACUGCUAAGCUUCAAUAUAUACCAGUCUUACAUAGCAUCGAUUUGGUACAACUUUCAAACAGGCAAACAGAACAAUUUGCAUAUUGUUGUCCAGGCAGAUGACAAGGAAUUCCUAAGCAGAGAAACUACCAUGACGAGGGGGAGUGUUCGCAUGCUUCCAACUGAAUGAUGCAACAGAAGCAUAGGUUGUGUGACCUACCACUUCAUCUCUGGGGGCCGCAUCAGAUAUUUCUUUCAGGUCUUUGCUUGUGAGCUUCACUUUCAGAAGUGACAACAUUGUCAUCCAAGUUCUUGAACUUGGUUGUACCUGAUAUUAUUCACAACAUCAGGUGCCAGACAAAUGUGUAAUAUACCAGUGCAUAAUGGCAUCAUGAAUUUAUUUGUGCAGCAACCAGAGGAUCAUAACCCAGCAAAAAAUGCUUGAUAUGUCAGAACCGAGAUUCCUGAACAAAAUAUAAUCUUCUUCAAGCAGAGGGAGGACAUGACCUUUGAUUUUAGUAUAAAACAGGUAUUCCGGUCUCUUUCAUUGAUUCUGAUUUUUGAACAGAAAAUCUAAUCUGAAACACCACUGACGGUAGGUUUUUCUGUAAACUUACCAGGGAUAGGAGCCACAUCAUCUCCUUGGCGAAGGAGCUAAGCCAGAGCCAGUCGUGCAGGUGUACAGUGAUGCUUCACAACCAACUUCUCUAAUCCUCUAAGAGUCUUUUGUUCUUUUCCAAGUUUUCUCCAGUGAACCUUGGAUGCCAAUUCUGAGAGAAAUUCAUGGAUGGUUAUCAGUUGACAGGCUGUUCUUAUAGCACUGAAACAUUCAGGUAUGACAAUACAUCUUUAGUACAAAAACCUAACUUCAUCAAAAUCUAGAAUCAAAGUUCGAAAAAGAUUAAUUUAUGUCAAAUUCUCUACCGGAUAUGAAUACUGAGGUAAGCUUUCUGCAACUCCUUUGCUAGCCAAGAAUCCGUGACCGAUAGGACCGUAUGGGACAAUUCCAAUGUCAAAUUCUCUACCGGAUAAAUUCAGGUGAACCUGUUCUCUUGUUGUUCUUUUGUCUUCUCAUCAUCAUAUGGAUGUGCAUGGGUCACAAAGAAAUUGGCAUUACAAGUACAAUACAUUACUCUUCCAAAAUGCCAGCAAAGUUGUGUAUCAAUCAACUCUGAGCAUAACCAAAAAUAAUCUCAUACCUGCAAACUGGGAUAAUUUCUUCCUCAAUAUCCUGAGACCAGAGAGACCACUCGAUCCGCACUGCACUUAUGGGAUGCACAGUGUGGGAAUGCUGAAUCAUCUCCGAACUUGCCUAUGAUAGUCCGACAUACUUCACCUUGCUUUCUUCCACCAGCUUCUUUAGCUUGCCCAUCUAGCACAAACCAGAAUGUACAAUACUCUAGUUUAGCCCCACAUCAUCAUAUGUGAGAGGACAAUUGAGCCAAUUAUUGGUGUUAGAAUGAAUGGAUCAAUUAUUCUAUUGGUCUCGGUAAUAGGGACAGUAUUCAAUAUUAAAUAUGAUAAGAGAUCCAAGUAGAAAGAGAGGUAUAUGUGGAUCAGUAGUUUCAUCUACAACAUGAAGCUACUACUAAGUUAAAUCUCACAUGCACCGUGAAGCUUGAUUUUAUGCUAUAUUUAGAUUUUAUCAGGGAUGUCAAGUCUUAAAUGAGGAAGAUUGAUCGGUAUAAGCAAAUGCAUGACCCUUUGUCAUGCAAUCAUGCAUGAAGUUGUCCAUCUGCUAUGGUGUUAUUUUUUUGUUUUGCUUCUGUGACCCGAGUAUUUAUGUUUUAGAAGGAAGAUCGCGUGUGUGUUACUAAUUCGUUUUCUCACUUUGCAGGUCCUAUGUGGCUACAAAGGUCACGGGAAGGUUGAUCUUUUGUGAGCAGGUAUCACAAGGAUGUUGAAUGGCUUUGGUAAAUCCAACUAACUCCAUGACAAUUGGUCUGUCUGUUACACAAAUAGAGAUCUUCUAGGUUUUGUUACUUACAGUUUCCUUGGUUGGCACCAUCUUGUCGUGAUGUAAAGCUCUCGUUUCAGCAAGCCCGUAAAUGUUGAAGGUGUCGAAGAAGGUGAUGCCACUCUCAAAAGCAUGCUUGAUGAUGGACAUCCGAACCUCAGUCACUCACUGGUGCAUUGAAUAUCCCACUGAGACCCAUGCAUCCAAAUCCUAGCUUCGACACCUGCAUGAAAAUAAAUGAAGCAAAAAGAGAAGAUUGCCCAAGAGAUCAACAUUAACAUCAUGCAGGAAGCAUCUCCCUUCAGCUUAUCAGAGAAGGUGUGAUCUCUAGUCCUUGGGAACCCAACUUCACUCUGGGGGGUCUGAAUCUUGUCCUGCAACUCCAUUUUUAGUCACUGAAUGAUUCCUCAGCUACAGAUUGAUGAUGCCACCCUAUAUAUAUUUAUAUAUAGGACAAAGGUACUGCUGGUACUGUUAGCAUUAAAAUAUUUCAAGGAAACUCAAAAUUUCUAUUAUACUGUUAUUUCUUUAUUAAAAUGUAUUAAGUUAUUUGAAGUGUUGCAUUUGUUUUAUUGCAAGAAUGUUUUAAAGGCUGAAGUUUUAUGCUUCCUACAUCAUCUUUUGGCUGUCGGCAACCAAUACAGUACGUCUUCCUCGCAAUCAUCCUCAUUUGUUUUUUGUUUAGAUGUUCUUUUUUUCUAAUGUUCAUAAAUCUGCAUCAACCUCUUUAUGAUCCUUAAGAAAUUGUCAAGUUUAUGUUAAAUAAUUUUUUUUCUUAAUUUUAAUAAUUUAUUUAAUUUUUAGUUUUCACUCAACAGGAAUAAGAGGCAGGCAAGAAAUGACUUGUAAGAGAGUUGUCUGACCUGUUCCAGCGAGCUCAUGGCCUCUGUAACCAUCCAUUAACGAGGCAGCCAUGGCCAUGAAUUCAAAGAUCACAUUGGAAGGACGGAAUUUUCUGGUGAUUGACUUCAACAAUCUGUAAUCUACCACAUGCAGCUCAAACAAAUCACAAGUAGCACAAGUGUGUUACUAACAAAAGUGCAUCAGUGCNNNNNNNNNNNNNNNNNNNNNNNNNNNNNNNNNNNNNNNNNNNNNNNNNNNNNNNNNNNNNNNNNNNNNNNNNNNNNNNNNNNNNNNNNNNNNNNNNNNNNNNNNNNNNNNNNNNNNNNNNNNNNNNNNNNNNNNNNNNNNNNNNNNNNNNNNNNNNNNNNNNNNNNNNNNNNNNNNNNNNNNNNNNNNNNNNNNNNNNNNNNNNNNNNNNNNNNNNNNNNNNNNNNNNNNNNNNNNNNNNNNNNNNNNNNNNNNNNNNNNNNNNNNNNNNNNNNNNNNNNNNNNNNNNNNNNNNNNNNNNNNNNNNNNNNNNNNNNNNNNNNNNNNNNNNNNNNNNNNNNNNNNNNNNNNNNNNNNNNNNNNNNNNNNNNNNNNNNNNNNNNNNNNNNNNNNNNNNNNNNNNNNNNNNNNNNNNNNNNNNNNNNNNNNNNNNNNNNNNNNNNNNNNNNNNNNNNNNNNNNNNNNNNNNNNNNNNNNNNNNNNNNNNNNNNNNNNNNNNNNNNNNNNNNNNNNNNNNNNNNNNNNNNNNNNNNNNNNNNNNNNNNNNNNNNNNNNNNNNNNNNNUGCAGCUCAAUACAAAUCACAAGUAGCACAAGUGUGUUACUAACAAAAGUGCAUCAGUGCAGCGGACUGUAAGCAAUAUUGUAUUUGGAGGAUCCUAGAAUUUGUUGGUGCCUCUCAUAAUGUGUUCUUUGGCAUUGAGCAGACUGUAAGCAAUAUUGUCUUUGGAGGAUCCUAGAAUUGCUGGUGAUUGACUUCAACAAGCUGUAAUCUACCACAUGCAGCUCAAUCAAAUCACAAGUAGCACAACAAGUGUGUUACUAACAAAAGUGCAUCAGUGCAGCGGACUGUAAGCAAUAUUGUAUUUGGAGGAUCCUAGAAUUUGUUGGUGCCUCUCAUAAUGUGUUCUUUGGCAUUGAGCAGACUGUAAGCAAUCUUGUAUUUGGAGAACACUAGAAUGUGUUGGUGCCUGUCAUGAGGUGUUUCUUGACAUUGUGAAUUCAUCAGUCUGGAGCAAUAAUUUGCAUAGAUUCAUCAGUAAAAUGAUACUUCUCUUGAAGAACUAUUAACAUAAUUACAUUUGAGAUUGCAAGGUAGGUUGAAAUAAUUAGGUAAAUUGUAUAUACAGUUUGUGUUGUAGAAAUUAGAUUAUUGAGGUGAAUGUAUUGAAUUAUUGAGGAUGACAAAUUAAUUUUUUUCUUGAACAAUUAGAUGUACUUUCGAUAGAGAUGAAGGAUGAUAGGGAACUUACAAAUAUCAUAGUUAGAAUAUGUAAGAUAAUUAAAUAUUAGUGGUGAGACUUGAGUUACCUUAACCAUCAAACUAUAACUAAAUAAAUAGUCAUAAGUUACAUUCACCCAAUGUGUGGCAUUUUCUCAUAUACUCUCCAUCAUAUAUACC
rnacentral:lncRNA from 1 species